rnacentral:lncRNA from 1 species
CCUUAUAUGUAGCUUCCAACUUGUAAAACAAGUUGACUCAUUCGAAGUACAUAGCAAAAAAAUGCAGCGAAGUUCAUUACAAGAUAAGAAGUUAAAUAAGUAAGCACAUGCCCAAAUCAGUCUCGUUUAAUUGUGUAGCACUAAAGUAUUGGACUUUGUUGGGGCCAGUUGACAAUUCAAACUGUUUAAGCCUGCAUCUCAUUUAAUUCAAACUUCAUCUCAAUUUGUCUCAGAUAAGUACAUAUUUGUCUCAGGUAAUUACCUUUGGAAACAAUAAACCUGGUCCGCUUUGGGAGUUUAUCAUGAGAACCUCAACGGCUUUCUUCUGUUCAUCACCAGAAGUUUCAUCAACUCUAUACCUGAAUGGUAUGCACCUGGAAACAAUGAACUUGUUCAGACAAAUACAUGAAGUAUCCACUGUGCAAAAGCAGCAAAAUGUGAAUGUUAGGCCCCACAGUUUACAAGGAUUUUUAUCAAAUCCUGCCCAAAGAGGAACAAUGUCUUAUCACAGGAAUCACCAAUAUUAAUAUGAUUGAAAUGUGCAGCUAUGUUUUAAGGCGAAAAUUAUGCAACAGUUAAGCUACCACACAGCUGUACAUAUAUAAGUACAAGAUGCUAUUUGAGCUACAUGGACAGUAGAAGUUCAGCCAUAUUCAUGGAAUGGUGCUUUCUGGCAAAAUUUGUCAAACUAACAAACAUUGUAGAUGCAGUUUGCUGACCUACAUCUUAGUCAUCAGAAAUAUACAUACUGUAUGUAUGAAUAAAAGGGAGAAUUUAAGUCUUAAAAGUCAAUGGUCGGAAUGUCUAAGCGCAAUCUACAACAAAAUCGUAUAGCUGAAAAUGAUUAGCAUUUCUGCUUUGUCUUAAAGUCUCUUCCACAUAUACUAUGUAAUGAACUUAUGCAACAGUUAAACUAAUAUAAGAGCAUUCAGAACACUAUUUUAGUAAUCCAAAUGCUCUUAUAUUAGUUUACAGAGGGAGUACUAUGUAAUGAACUUUGGUGUGUUUUGAUUUCCGUCACUAUAGCCUACAAGGAGGGCCUUUUUCUAGAUAAGUUUACAAUUUCAUAUGUCAUACCAUAAAACUUCAUACUUCAGAUGUCACUUGUUGUUACGGUUCCUUCAAAACAUCACAUAAUGAGCAGAAAGGCAUGUGGACCAGAAAACUGCAGGUAAAGUCAUCAAAACUUGCCACUGGUGACAUCAGAAGUCUACCCUAGCUUACAAAAUCAAAACUGAACCAGGAGCAAACCCAAAGAGGGACACCUAUCAGGGCCAAACACCUGGAUUAUGAAGAUUAGUUCGUGUGUUGUAACCUUUGACACAGGUAAAAUGCAUAUGCAAGUGAAACAAACAAAUAUUUGUCGCUCUCAUCAGAUACUAAUUCUAUUAAGAUAUCAUGCUUAGGAGAAAAAAGAACAGAGUUGACACAAACAGCGAACCAGCCCCGGAUGACAGGCCGCAUCACCACCACAAGCAGCAAACCAGCCCCGGAUGGGGCAGGCCGCACCAUCACGGCACAGACUCUAGCGACCCAAAACGUCCAUAGACCUCAAACCAAGGGCAGCAUCUCAUACGGGGAGAGGAAUCUAGGUCAGGAGGGCAAUGGACGCACCCAUCUAAUCUCGGAUACAGAAAACUGGUAGCAUCAGGAUUCGGGAGGAGCAACAAUCAGGGGAAGGCGGACCCAAUCCAUACCCGGCGACGAGCCGCCGCCCGUCCUCGUAGCGUUGCUGGUGGCGACCCGUGCGGGCCACGAGGUCGCACAUGCUACCCCGCCGCGCUCGAUCUCCUCCUCCUUGUCCGCCGCCGCCGCCGCCCGCCCNNNNNNNNNNNNNNNNNNNNNNNNNNNNNNNNNNNNNNNNNNNNNNNNNNNNNNNNNNNNNNNNNNNNNNNNNNNNNNNNNNNNNNNNNNNNNNNNNNNNNNNNNNNNNNNNNNNNNNNNNNNNNNNNNNNNNNNNNNNNNNNNNNNNNNNNNNNNNNNNNNNNNNNNNNUUUACUGUGGCUGGCUGGCGUGGUGGUCGCUUCCUUCUUUUUCUGGGCCGCUCGGAGGAGAGCCGUCUCGGCUUUGGUUUUUGGGUUGGGCGCACGCAGCUGAGAUUGUUUUGGGUUUCUUCUCCUUUUUUCUUUUUCUUUUCUUUUCCAAAAGGGAAAGCUUUUGCCUUUUAGUUUUGUAUUAUCCGGGGUUGGCUGCAUUAUUUGGGGGUUUUGUAUUGUUAUAUGCCUGACCUUGUACCUUUUUUUUUUGCUUUUGUCUUAGUCUUGGUGUUCAUCCUAGGGGGCGGCGAGGAAAGAAGUUGGAAAGUUCUUGCUUAUACGGUGGUCGACGUCCCACGUGUCGAUCGGGGUGUAACUUGUCUUGCAUGUUUUGUUUUGGCCGGCAUUGAAUGGCGUAUGGUCGUAAGGGUGCUUUUUUGUUUGUCGUCGAUCACAGGGCACACGAAUAAAUUAGCGGUUUACCUCUUGUUUUGUUUGUUUUAGUGAAAGAGGUUUACCUUUUGUUGUUAUGCAAAUAGGACCGAACGUGGUUUUUGUUUGUUCCCUUAUGCUAUCCCUUGAUAAUGAAACCGACCCCAUGUUGGAUCAAAUGGAAAGAAAACAAAGGUCGGACGCACAUGGUCUAAGCUUCGAAAGGUUGGGUAGGUAGUGGUGGAGUUGGGUUUAUCUACGGAGUGCACAAAGUUCAUAUUUUAUGAAUUUUCUGAGUAUUUAUCAACUUCUACAUAGUUAUCUAUUUAGUUUAUACUUUCUUAACAAAUUAAUGGGCACACAUCCUUUCGUGAAAAAUUAACGGGCACAAAUUAUUUGAUUUUUUUUGUCUAACCUUGUGUUUUUUGGCUUUAGUCUUCGAAUCUUGGUCUUGGCGCUCAUCCUCUCGCGGUGGCGACGAAAGAAGUUGGAAAGAUCUACUUAUACGGUUGAUGGAGGCAUGUGUUGAUCGGACUGUUACUUGUCUUGCAUGUUUGGUUUUGGCUGGCAUGAAUGGGCCACAUUUGUAUGGGUUUUCUAUUUGCCGUCAAUGACAGGGUACGAGUGAAUUAGGGGUUUACCUUUUGUUGUAUGCUCGUACGCUAGUGUAGAAUCAGGCAAUAGUCCCGGUUCGUAACUAUCUUUAGUGUCGGUUCUGCAACCGGCACUAAAGGGUGGGGACUAAAGCCCCCCCCCUAGUGUCGGUUCGUCAUGAAUCGGAACCAAAUGCUCACCACGUGGCACGAGCCCGCUCGGGGGGCUGGGGGCCUUUAGCCCCGGUUAGUUACACCAACCAGGACUAAAAGGUUUAGGAUUUUUGGGUUUAUGGAUUGUUUUUCCUUUUUAUUUUAUGUUUUCCAUAUUUUUUAUUUCAAACAUAUUUUACGCUACUACAUAUUGUACACGUUAUGCAUAUAUAAAAAUAGAAUUUCUGGUAGAACCGAUCAUAUAUAUAUCAUCAAAUUUCUCGCACGACCAUUCACACAUACACACACACAUAUAUACAAUUUGCAGAUCAUUACAUGAAGGCAUUACAACUUGUAAUGUAUUCUUCCUUGGGAUCUAUGACGUAGUCGAGCAAAAAUCCCGCUAUUUCGUCUUGAAUUGCUCCUACGCAAUCCGUUGGUAGGAGCUGAUCCCACCUAUUUUGCAUCUUUAUUAAAAAAGAAGAUCAGUAUGAAUAUAUUAGUUGUGUGUACAUAUAUUAGAUCAUGAUAAAAAAAUGUAAAUAGUAUUCUGGCAAACGUACCCAGAGUUGUUUAUCAUUUUUGGACCUUUCGGACGUCAUCAUGCGAAUGUUCUCGCAAACGUAGUAUGCACACAAAUUAUUCCCCGGCGCCUGCCUCAGGCAGUUUACGAGAAUAGAAUUCAAUCAGAUAAUAAUUAAUCAAGCAUGAUAAUGAUAUUGAAACUAUAAUUAAAGAGAUGGUAGCUAGCUAGUACUAUUUAAUUAAUUACCCUGGGUUGCGUUCAUUUCAGUUUUGGUUUCCAUGGGCCUUCAACCUGUUUAAUAAACUUUUCCCAAGCCCCGUCCGCCGACAAAGAAAAUGAUAAAGGAGUUAUUAAUUAGUUGAUAUGAGGAAAUGAACUAAAGAGGCCGACAUAUAGUUCGAUAAUGAUUGAAAUUACCUGUCGACCCCCCCCCCCUCACGAUUGCGUAGUCUCUUUCAUCUUUAAGUAGUGAGUCCAGUACUAGAACUUUUCCCUCGUCAACUUCAAUAAUUAGCAGGAUCCAGUAAAAACUACAUGCGAACAUGUUUGUAUAAUUAAGCGGGCAUAUGCAUAUAUAACUCAUCAACUACACUUAUUAAAAUCUAGUAAGCAAAAACAGAAUUUGUAUUACAAGACAGUGCCACUCAUCCGAAGUUGUAAGGAAGUAGUAUUUCUGGUUAGAUAUUUAGUUGCACCAAGAACUCUACCAAGCUUAUCUCCGUGUCUUUUCGUUCCCAUUUACACGUCCAUGUCUCUUCAUUAAUGGUAUUUGGAUCGAUGAACCCAAUGCCAUAGCAUCCAGUUUUUUUGAUUUCAUACAUCUUCAUUCUGCAUAAUACCACAAAAAAUAAUAUAUAGUGAGGAUAAUUACAGGUAAUGAACAAGCACUACAGCUAGCAAGAGACUUGAAUUACACAACGAAAUCACUUACAGACAAUAGCAAUUGACGAGAGAUUUGUCGAGUGCAUCUUGAUUGAGUAAGUGAAAUAUUUCUUGAUACUUAACCCACAAAUCUUUUUUAUGGUAGUAAUGCUCUGCCUCGACUUUCACCAUGAGGGACUCUCGAUCGGUAGUCUUUACUACUCUCAGGUACCAUUGAUGCAAUUCAUACAUUCUCGUUGACAAAAGCGGGAUCUGCUCAGGCUUGACCAUAGGUUGGCCUCGGACAUAUUUCCAUUGUAGUUGCUCCUGUGUAAACGUUUGGAAGUCCUCGAUGCCUAGGAGUUGUUCUACAGUGACAGCGGCCUCUUUAGCAUGUCUUCUAUGAUUGUCAGUUAUUACCAGCUGCUGAUCGGUUGUUCAUUUAAAGUUAUUUUCAGAGUUCAGGGUCAUUUUAGUUCUUUUCAAUUUCAAGGUCAUUUAGCUAAAAAAAUCAGUAAAUGCAUGAAAAAUAGCAAAUGAUGUCAGAAAUUAAUCACACAUAAGUACCCUAACUAUUACAAAGAUUCCCUCUGGUUUGUCCGAAGUGGGACUUUCAGAUAUAUAAGUCCGAAAACUCACUAGAGAAGAAAGUGAUGAUAGUGAAGUCGGUCACAUCCCAGAGUGGGAUCUUUGGGUGUAAUUUUUUUUUCUUCGUGUGUGUCCCUUUGCGCCGUAACCAUGGACAAUCUUCAUCAUUUAACUGGAUACUCGGGUCAAUAUUCACUGUGAAGAGAGCAAUUUCAUGAAACUUUUCAUAUUGUCCUGACAUGUCUGUCUUGUCCUCCACUCCCACAUUGUUUCUUUUCCCUAAAAGAACUAUGUGGCGCUUUGGCUCAUCGUAUGAUGUAUUCACUUCCUUAUCUUUUCUUUUUCCCGGCUUGGUAGACAUGUCCUUUACAUAGAAAACGUGCACCGCAUCAUUGGCUAGGACGAAUGGUUCGUAUGCGUACCCAAGAUUGUUGAGAUCCACUCUUGUCAUUCCGUACUGCGGGUCUUCCGUUACUCCGCCUCGUGACAGAUUGACCCAUUUGCACCGAACCAAAGGGACCUUCAAAUCACGUCCAUAGUCAAGUUCCCAUAUCUCCUCUAUGUAACCAUAAUAUGUCUCCUUUGGCCUAUUGGUGUUUGCUGCAUCAAAGCGGACACCACUGUUUUGGUUGGUGCUCUUUUUAUCUUGGGCGAUCGUGUAACAUGUAUUCUCAUUUAUCUCUUACCCUUUGAAAGUCAAUAUAUUCGAAGAUGGCAACUUGGACAACAAGUACAACUCAUCUUCAACAACGUCGUCAUGCAUGAGACGUGUCGGCAACCAACCGGCGAAAGUCCUCGUUUGUUCACGUGUAAUCCCGUCGUCAGACUGCUCCGGGUGUUUGUAGCAUAAAAUAUUUUUGUGUUCCUCGAUAUACGGAGCCGCCAAGGAGGAAUUUUGUAGAACUAUGUAGUGUGCUUGAGUGAGAUAAUGCCCGUCCAUACAUAUUAUUGCUUUCGGUCCUAGCAUGCCUUUUCCACCCAGUCGUCCCUCAUGCGGCGAUUCAGGAACACCAAUCGGCUUAAGGUUGGGAAUAAAGUCAACACAAAACUCAAUGACCUCCUCAUUUUCAUGGCCCUUGGAGAUGCUUCCUUCUGGCCUAGCACGCUUAUGAACAUAUUUCUUUAAGACUCCCAUGAACCUCUCAAAGGGGAACAUAUUAUGUAGAAAUACAUGACCCAGAAUGGCAACUAGGACGUGCGUCAUGAUAUUGAAGAAGGAUGGUGGGAACACCAACUCGAAACUGACAAGACAUUGAACCAAAUCAUUCUCUAACCUUGGUAUGAUUUUUGGAUCGAUUACCUUCUGAGAGAUUGCAUUGAGGAAUGCACAUAGCUUCACAAUGGCUAAUCGAACAUUUUUCGAUAGAAGGCCCCUCAAUGCAACCGGAAGCAGUUGCGUCAUAAUCACGUGGAAUUCAUGAGACUUCAGGUUCUAGAACUUUUUCUCCACCAUAUUUAUUAUUCCCUUUAUAUUCGACAAGAAGCCAGAUGGGACCCAGAAAUAUUAUGUAGAAAUACAUGACCCAGAAUGGCAACUAGGACGUGCGUCAUAAUAUUGAAGAAGGAUGGUGGGAACACCAACUCGAAACUGACAAAAAAUUGAACCUGGUGGGAACACCAACUCGAAACUGACAAGACAUUGAACCAAAUCAUUCUCUAACCUUGGUAUGAUUUCUGGAUCGAUUACCUUCUGAGAGAUUGCAUUGAGGAAUGCACAUAGCUUCACAAUGGCUAAUCGAACAUUUUCCAAUAGAAGGCCCCUCAAUGCAACCGGAAGCAGUUGCGUCAUAAUCACGUGGAAUUCAUGAGACUUUAGGUUCUAGAACUUUUUCUCCGCCAUAUUUAUUAUUCCCUUUAUAUUCGACAAGAAGCCAGAUGGGACCUUCAUACUGAGCAGACAUUCAAAGAAGAUUUUCUUCUAUUCUUCCGUAAGAGCGUAGCUGGCACGACCCUGAUGUAUGCCGUCUUUUCCGUGCAUACGUUGUUGGUCCUCUCAUGCCUCCUGUUGGGGAACGUUGCAUGGGAAACAAAAAAUUUCCUACGCACACGAAGACCUAUCAUGGUGAUGUUCAUCUACGAGAGGAGAUUAGAUCUACAUACCCUUGUAGAUCGCUAAGCGGGAAGCGCUAAGAAACGCGGUUGAUGUAGUGGUACAGCUUCGUGAUUCAAAUCACCGUCGUCCCACGAUCUGUCCCACGAUCCGUUUCGAUCUAGCACCGAACGGACGACACCUUCGCAUUCAGCACACGUACAACUCGAUGACGAUCUCGGCCUUCUUGAUCCAGCAAGAGAGACGGAGAAGUAGAUGAGUUCUCCGGCAGCGUGACGGCACGCCGAUGGUGGUGAUGAUCUACUCUUGCAGGGCUCCUCCCGAGCUCCGCAGAAAUCCGAUCUAGAGGACGAACUACGUGGUAUAGGUUUGAGUUGCACGUGGCAAAAGUUGUGUCUCAAAAGCCCUAAAACCACCAGUAUAUAUAAGAGGAUGGCAGGGGCUAACCUUGGGUCUCAAGAGAGCCCCAAGGGCACCGGCCAAGGGGAGUAGGUGGACUCCCACCCCAAUUCAGUUUGGGGGAAGGAGUCCACUCCUUCCUUCCCACCUCCCUCUUUUCUUUGUUUUUUUACUUGUGGCGCCAUAGCCCUCUUGGGCUAGCUCCACCAGCCCACUAAGGGCUGGUGCACCACCCUAGGGUUACCGGGCUCACUCCCGGGUGGGUGGGCCCCUCCCGAUGAACACCCGGAACCCAUUCAUCACUCCCGGUACACUGCCGGUAAUGCCCGAAAAACUUUUCGGUGACCAAAUGAAACCAUCCUAUAUAUCAAUCUUCGUUUCCAGACCAUUCCGGAAACCCUCGUGAUGUUCGUGAUCUCAUCCGGGACUCCGAACAACAUUCGGUCACCAACACAUAUAACUCAACUAUACUAAAACGUCACCGAACCUUAAGUGUGCAGACCCUUCGGGUUCGAGAACUAUGUAGACAUGACCCGGGACACUCCUCGGUCAAUAUCCAAUAGUGGGACCUAGAUGUCCAUAUUGGAUCCUACAUAUUCUACAAAGAUCUUAUCGGUUGAACCUCUGUGCCAAGGAUUCAUAUAAUCCCGUAUAACAUUCCCUUUGUCCUUCGGUAUGUUACUUGCCCGAGAUUUGAUCGUCGGUAUCCCUAUACCUAUUUUAAUCUCGUUACCGGCAAGUCUCUUUACUCGUUCCAUAAUACAAGAUCUCGUGACUAACACAUUAGACAUAUUGCUUGCGAGGCUUGUUUGUGAUGUUGUAUUACCGAGUGGGCCCCGAGAUACCUCUCCGUCACACAGAGUGACAAAUCCCAGUCUUGAUCCAUGCUAACUCAACGGACACCUUCGGAUAUACCUGUAGAGCACCUUUAUAGUCACCCAGUUACGUUCUGACGUUUGAUACACAGAAGGCAUUCCUCUGGUGUCAGUGAGUUACAUGAUCUCAUGGUCAUAGGAAUGAAUACUUGACACACAGAAAACAAUAGCAAAAAAAUGACAUGAUCACAUGCUACGUUCAUAGUUUGGGUCUAGUCCAUCACAUGAUUCUCCUAAUGAUGUGAUCCAGUUAUCAAGUGAGAACACUUGCAUAUGGUCAGAAAACCUUAACCAUCCUUGAUCAACUGGCUAUCCAACUAGAGUCUUGCUAGGGACAUUGUUUUGUCUAUAUAUCCACACAUGUAUAUAUGUUUUCAUUCAAUACAAUUAUAGCAUGGAUAAUAAACGAUUAUCUUGAAACAGGAAAUAUAAUAGUAACUAUUUUAUCAUUGCCUCUAGGUCAUAUUUCCAACAGUCUCCCACUUGCGCUAGAGUCAAUAAUCUAGUCUCACAUCGCCAUGCGAUUUAUAUUGUAAUGAAUCUAACACCCAUACAGUUCUGGUGUUGAUCAUGCUUUGCCCGUGGAAGAGGUUUAGUCAGCGGAUCUGCUGCAUUUAGAUCCGUGUGCACUCCUUCGACGUAGUCGCGGAUGAGGUUGAAGUGUCGUUUGAUGUGUCUGGUCUUCUUGUGAAACCUUGGUUCCUGUGCUAAAGCAAUGGCACCAGUGUUGUCACAGAAUAAUGUUAUUGGAUUUAGUGCGCUCGGCACAACUCCAAGAUCCGUCAUGAACUGCUUCAUCCAGACACCCUCCUUAGCUGCCUCCGAGGCAACCAUGUACUCCGCCUCACAUGAAUAAUCUGCUACGACGCUUUGCUUGGAACUGCACCAGCUUACCGCACCCCCAUUAAGAAUAAAUACGUAUCCGGUUUGAGACUUAGAGUCAUGUGGAUCGGUGUCAAAACUUGUGUCGACGUAACCAUUUACGAUGAGCUCUUCGUCACCUCCAUAAACGAGAAACAUUUCCUUAGUCCUUUUCAGGUACUUCAGAAUAUUCUUGACCGCUGAUACGUCCAUUUUGCAUCAUGUUUUCAUGUUAAUAUUUAUCGCUUCUUGGGCUGUUAUUUCACUUCACGGUACAAUUCUUAUGCCUUUUCUCUCUUAUUUUGCAAGGUUUACAUGAAGAGGGAGAAUACCGACAACUGGAAUUCUGGCCUGAAAGUGGAGCAAGUUUGAGAUACCUAUUCUGCGCAACUCCAAACGCCGUGAAAAUCAACGGGGAUUUGUUUCCCGAUUUAUCAAAAAUACUAGGCCGAAGAAGUGCCAGAGGGGCACCAGGGGGUGCCCACAAGCCUGCACGGCGGCGCCACCCCCCAGGCCGCGCCAUGGGGGCUUAUGGGCAGCCCACUGGCCCACUGCCCCCCCUCUUUUGCUAUAUGGAGGGUUUCAUCCAGGAAAAAAUCAUGGAGGAGCUUUUUCGUGGUUUCGCCGCCGCCACGAGGCGGAACUUGAGCAGAACCAAUCUAGAGCUCCGGCAGGACGAUCCUGCCGGGGAAACUUCCCUCCCGGAGGGGGAAAUCAUCGCCAUCGUCAUCACCAACACUCCUCUCAUCGGAGGGGACUCGUCACCAUCAACAUCUUCAUCAGCACCAUCUCAUCUCCAAACCCUAGUUCAUCACUUGUAACCAAUCUCCGUCUCGCGACUCCGAUUGGUACUUGUAAGGUUGCUAGUAGUGUUGAUUACUCCUUGUAGUUGAUGCUAGUUGGAUUAUUUGGUGGAAGAGUUUAUGUUCAGAUCCUUGAUGCUACCCAUUACCUCUCUGGUCAUGAAUAUGAUUAUGCUUUGUGAGUAGUUACUUUUGUUCCUGAGGACAUGGGAUAAGUCGUGCUAAUAGUAGUCAUGUGAAUUUGGUAUUCGUUCGGUAAUUUGAUAUGUUGUAUGUUGUUUUUCCUCUAGUGGUGUUAUGUGAACGUCGACUACAUAACACUUCACCAUUAUUUGGGCCUAGAGGAAGGGAUUGGGAAGUAGUAAGUAGAUGAUGGGUUGCUAGAGUGACAGAAGCUUAAACCCUAGUUUAUGUGUUACUUCGUAAGGGGCUGAUUUGGAUCCACUAGUUUAAUGCUAUGGUUAGACUUUGUCUUAAUUCUUCUUUCGUAGUUGUGUAUGCUUGCGAGAGGGGUUAAUGAUAAGUGGGAUGCUUGUCCAAGUAAGGGAAGUACCCAAGCGCCGGUCCACCCACAUAUCAAACUAUCAAAGUAACGAACGCGAAUCAUAUGAACAUGAUGAAAUUAGCAUGACAGAAAUUCCCGUGUGUCACCGGGAGCGUUUUUCCUCCUAUAAGACUUUGUCCAGGCUUGUCCCUUGCUACAAAAGGGAUUGGGCCACUUUGCUGCACCGUUGCUACUUUUGUUACUUGUUGCUUGCUACGAAUCAUCUCACCACACAAUCACUUGUUACCGACAAUUUCAGUGCUUGCAGAUUUUACCUUGCUGAAAACCACUUGUCAGAUCCUUCUGCUCCUCGUUGGGUUCGACACUCUUACUUAUCGAAAGGACUACAAUUGAUCCCCUAUACUUGUGGGUCAUCAAGACUCUUUUCUGGCGCCGUUGUCGGGGAGUGAAGCGCCUUUGGUAAGUGGAACUUGGUAAGGAAACAUUCAUAUAGUGUGCUGAAAUUUAUUGUCACUUGUCACUAUGGAUACUAAUCCUUUUAGGGGCUUGUUCGGGGUAUCUUCACCUCGAACGAAAGCACAAAGAGUUGCUCCUCAACCUGCUGCACCUACUGAAAAUAUUUGCUUUGAAUUUCCUUCGGGUAUGCUUGAGAAAUUGCUGGCUAAUCCUUUUACACGAGAUGGAACAUCACAUCCAGACUUGCAUCUGAUCUAUGUAGAUGAGGUUUGCGGUUUAUUUAAGCUUGCAGGUGUGCCCGAGGAUGAGGUCAAGAAGAAGGUCUUUCCUUUAUCUUUGAAGGAUAAGGCGUUGACAUGGUAUAGGCUAUGUGAUGAUACUGGAUCAUGGGACUACAAUCGGUUGAAAUUGGAAUUUCAUCAAAAGUUUUAUCCUAUGCAUUUAGUACAUCGUGAUCGGAAUUAUAUUUAUAAUUUUUGGCCUCAUGACAGAGAAAGCAUCGCUCAAGCUCGGGAGAGGCUUAAAUCAAUGCUAUAUUCAUGCCCCAAUCAUGAGCUCUCGAGAGAAAUUAUCAUUCGAAACUUCUAUGCUUGGCUUUCUCAUGAUGAUCGCACCAUGCUUGAUACUUCUUGUACCAUUUCUUUUAUGAAGAGAGAUAUUGACUUCAAAUGGAAUUUAUUGGAGAGAAUUAAACGCAACUCUGAAGAUUGGGAGCUUGAAGAAGGUAAGGAGUCAGGUAUGAAUUUCACUUUUGAUUGCGUUAAAUCCUUUGUUGAGACAAAUACUUUUUGUGACUUUAGCGCUAAGUAUGGACUUAACUCUGAGAUAGUAGCUUCAUUGUGUGAAUCCUUUGCUGCUCAUAUUGAUCCCUGAUACGUCUCAAACGUAUCUAUAAUUUUUUAUGGUUUGACGCUGUUAUCUUGUCUUCUUUGGAUGUUUUAUGUACCUUUUAUAUCUUUUUUGGGACUAACUUAUUAAUUCAGUGCCAAGUGUCAGUUCCUGUUUUUUCUGUGUUUUUGACUCUUUUCAGAUCUGAUUUUGGAAUGGAGUCCAAACGGAAUAAAAACCCCAAAAUGAUUUUUUUCCCGAACGAAAGAAGAUCAGGGGGCCUUUGGGCCAAGCCAGGUGGGCUCCAGGGAGCCCACAAGCCCCCCACUCCGCCACCAGGGGGAGGCGGCGGUGUCAGGGCUUGUGGCCUCCCUGGCCGCCCCCUGACCUAGAUCCUUGGCCUAUAUAUUCCCAAAUAUUCAGCAAAAAAUCAGGGGAGCCUCAAAAAUACUUUUCCGUCGCCGCAAGCUUCCGUUUCCGCGAGAUCUCAUCCGGAGACCCUUCCCGGCACCCUGUCGGAGGGGACUUUGGAGUUGGAGGGCUUCUUCAUCAUCAUCAUCGCCCCUCCAAUGACUCGUGAGUAGUUCACUUCAGACCUACGGGUCUGUAGUUAGUAGCUAGAUGGCUUCUUCUCUCUCUUGGAUCUUCAAUACAAAGUUCUCCAUGAUCUUCAUGGAGAUCUAUCCGAUGUAAUCUUCUUUGGUGGUGUGUUUGUCGAGAUCCGAUGAAUUGUGGAUUUGUGAUAAGAUUAUCUAUGAUAUAUAUUUGAGUCUUUGCUGAUUUCUUAUAUGCAUGAUUUCAUAUCCUUGUAAGUCUCUCCAAGUCUUGGGUUUGGUUUGGCCAACUAGAUCUAUGAUUCUUGCAAUGGGAGAAGUGCUCGGUUUUGGGUUCUACCAUGUGGUGACCUUUCCUAGUGACAGUAGGGGCAGCAAGGCACACACCAAGUAGUUGCCAUCAAGGGUAAAAAUAUGGGGGUUUUAUCAUUGGUUUGAUAAUAUCCCUCUACAUCAUGUCAUCUUGCUUAAGGCGUUACUCUGUUCUUAUGGACUUAAUACACUAGAUGCAUGCUGGAUAGCGGUCGACGUGUGGAGUAAUAGUAGUAGAUGCAGAAAGUAUCGGUCUACUUGUUUUGGACGUGAUGACUAUAGAUAUAAUCAUUGCAUAGAUAUCGUCACGACUUUGCGCGGUUCUAUCAAUUGCUCGAGAGUAAUUUGUUCACCCACCGUCUACUUGCUUUCAUGAGAGAAGCCACUAGUAAACACUACGGCCCCCGGGUCUAUUCACAUCCAUCGUUUACACCUCCGCUUUUACUUUGCUUUGUUACUUUGUUGCUUUCAGUUCUCACUUGGCAAACAAUCUAUAAGGGAUUGACAACCCCUUCAUAGCGUUGGGAGGAAGCUUUUGUGUUUGUGCAGGAUCUUGUGAUACUCCUCCACCGGAUUGAUACCUUGGUUCUCAAACUGAGGAAAAUACUUACCACCGCUGUGCUACAUCACCCUUUCCGCUUCGAGGGAACACCAACGCAAGGCUCCAAGGCCACGGGGGAAAUCCUCUGCAUACUUGCCUAGGAAGUCCCUUAAGGCGUAGCCGCAGCUGAAGGAUUCCUGGUGCCGUCGACACGACUAUUCUUGGCGCCGUUGCAAGGCAAGCACAACUGACAUCAGAAGUAUUUCUGGCGCCGUUGCCGGGGAGGAGAAAUCAAGAUCUAUCCAAGUAGGUCUCACAAACUCUUCUCUUGCAUUUACUUUUGUUGCGAGUUGCCUCUCGUUUUCCUCUCCCCCACUUCACAUUUGCCGUUUUCAUUUGCCUUUCUCCUUUGCUGUUUUCUUUUGCCUUUUUGCCGUUUUCUUUUGCCCGUUUCACUCUCUCUUCCUACUCGUUUGUGCGUGAGAUAGUCCAUCAAUGGCUAGACUCGCCACUCCAAAUGACACCCCUGAAAAUGAAGUUCUCAAUUUCAGGCAGAAUGAGGAAGAAAAUUUGAAGGACGCUUGGUAUAGGAUUUGCAAUGCUCAAAGUAGAUCUACUCAUAAGCAAUCCACUACCGUCCUCCUUCGCAGUUUCUAUGUUGGAAUUUCUCCUUGGAAUAGGUAUAUCCUUGAUACCAUUGUAGGUGGGAACUUUUUGGGGAGCCAUACUGUUGACUCCUAUAGAGCUAUCAUUAAUUUGGUAGGCUCACCCCCGCUCAUGGUUAAUGGAACUAUCUUGACCUUGGAACACGUGAUGCAAAGGCUUGACGCUAUUGCAAACAAAAUUGCCACAGUUGAACUUAUUGAGGGUUUGGAUAGAAAGAUCCACAAUCAAAUCACUCAGUACAGAUCCAAAGUGGGAAACUUUUUGAAAAACUUAAAGGAGAAGGAACUUAUAGUUAAUGAUUCUUCUAUAAUUGGCAAAUUAGAAGAUGUCAUAACCAACUUGGGUUCCGCUUUUGCCGCUGUGGAAAAUACUCCAAAUCUUACUCUCAAAAAGACCGUCAAGCCUGUUUUUGUCCUAAAGCUAGUGGUGAGUCAUCUAAUAAAGAUGAAAAUCUUAAGAUGACAAAAUGAUCACACUACCUAUGGUUUGAGCACCAAAGAUGACUAUACGUGAUUCCAUCACUUUUUGCCUAGCUAAGGGCGUUAAACAAAAGCGCUUGUUGGGAGGCAACUCAACGAAUCUAUCCUUUUUCUUUCUAUUUUGUGUUUUUCACACUUUCAUAAUUCUGUUAUGAUUGUGUUUUUUGUGUUUCUUUUUGCGUUUGUGCCAAGCAAAACCGUUAUGAUUAGUCUUGGGGAUGAUCGUUUGGUCAUGCUGGAAAAGACAGAAACUUUCUGCUCACGAAACAAAUUUUCAUUUUUUUCUGUAAGAGCUUUUGAGUUGAUUCUUUUUGCUGCUGAUUGCUACGCAAUUUCUUCAGACUGUCGUAAUUUUUCAGAAUUUUGGAAGUACCAUAGGUAUACGAAAUAUACAGAUUGCUUUGGACUGCUGUUAACAGAUUUUGUUUUUGUUGUGUUGGUUUCUUAUUUUGAUGAAACUAUGGAUAGUAUCGGGGGGUAUUAGCCAUGUAAGAUUGAAAAUACAGUAACCCAACAUCAGCAUAAGUAGAAUUUAAGUUUGCUACAGUACCUAAGGAAGUGGUGGUUUGCUUUCUUGUACUAAUGUUAUCACGAGUUUCUGUUUAAGUUUCGUGUUGUGAAGUUUUAAAGUUUUGGGUGAAGUUCUUAUGGACAAAGAGAUAAAGAGUGGCAAGCGCUCAAGCUUGGGGAUGCCCAAGGCACCCCAAGAGAUUCAAGGAUGCCAUAAAAGCCUAAGCUUGGGGAUGCCCCGGGAAGGCAUCCCCUCUCUUGUCUUCAAUCCAUCGGUAACGUUACUUGUGGCUAUAUUUUUAUUCACCACAUGUUAUGUGUUUUUGCUUGGAGCGUCUUGUAUCGUAGGAGUCUUUUAUUUUUUGUUGUUGUGUCACAAUCAUUCUUGAUGCACACCUAGAGAGAGACAUGCACUCACCGUGAUUUUGUCGAGCUUCACUUAUAUCUUUUGGUAGACAAUUCAGCUCACAUGUGCUUCACUUAUAUCUUUUGAGCUAGAUACUUUUGCUCUAUGUGCUUCACUUAUAUCUUUUAGAGCACAGUGGUGCGUGGCUUGGUAGUUGAUCUAUGCUUUGAAAGUAGUCUCAAAAGGGGUAGUAAUCCAAAGGGAUACAAAAACUUCCACCUUCAUGUGCAUUGAAUAGUUAGAGAAGUUUGAUUCAUCUCAAUUAGUUUUGAGUUGUGGUUAUGGUAAUUUUGAAGUCAUGCUAGUAAGGUGUUGUGGAUCUAGAAAUACUUGUGUUUAAGUUAGUGAUUCCCUUAGCAUGCACGUAUGGUGAACCGCUAUGUGAUGAAAUCUGAGCAUGAUUAGUAUAUUGAUUGUCAUCCUUUGCGUGGCGGUCGGGAUUGCGCGAUGGUUUAUACCUACCAACCCUUCCCCUAGGAGUAUGCGUCGAAUGCUUUGUUUAGAUUACUAAUAAAACUUUUGCAACAAGUAUAUGAGUUCUUCAUGACUAAUGUUGAGUCCAUGGUUUAGAUGCACUUUCACCUUCCACCAUCACUAUCUUCUUAGUGUUGUGCAACUUUCGCCGGUGCACAAAACCCACCAUUAGCCUCCCUCAAAACAGCCGCCAUACCUACCUACUAUGGCUUUUUCAAAGUCAUUCCGAGAUAUAUUGCCAUGCAACUACCACCAUGACAUGUGCCACCACGUCUACAUUGCCAUUGCAUGAUCGUAAGAUAGCUAGCAUGAUGUUUCCAUUGAUGUAUAUGCCAUGCUAGAUCAUUGCCACGAUACACUACCGAAGGCAUUCCAUAUAGAGUCAUAGUUGCUCUAAGUUUUGAGUUGAAAGUGUGAUGAUCAUCAUUAAUGGAGCAUUGUCCCAUGUGAGGAAAUAAAAGAGGCCAAAGAAGCCCACUAAAAAAAAGAGGCCAAAGAUCCCACCAAAUAAAAAAUGAGAGAAAAAGAGAGAAGGGACAAUGCUACCACUUUUUCCACACUUGUGCAUAUUAAGCACCAUGAUCUUCAUGAUUGAGAGUCUCUCGUUUUGUCACCACCAUAUAGCUAGUGGGAAAUUUUCAUUAUAUAACUUGGCUUGUAUAUUCCAAUGAUAGGCUUCCUCAAAAUUUCCUUAGGUCUUCGUGAGCAAGCAAGUUGGAUGCACACCCACUAGUUUUCUUUAAGAGCUUUCACAUACUCUUAGCUCUAGUGCAUCAUUUGUAUGGUAAUCCCUACUCAUUCACAUUGAUAUCUAUUGAUGAGCAUCUCCACAACUCAUUGAUAUGCCUAGUUAAUGUGACUAUCUUCUCCUUUUUGUCUUGCAACCUCCACCACACUCCACACCAUCUAUAGUGCUAUAACCAUGGCUCACGCUCAUGUAUUGCGUGAGAGUUGAAAAGGUUUGAGAAAGUAAAGGUGUGAAACAAUUACUUGGCCAAUACCGGGGUUGUGCAUGAUUUAAAUUCGUUGUGCAAUGAUGAUAGAGCAUAGCCAGACUAUAUGCUUUUGUAGGGAUAACUUUCUUUUGGCCUUGUUAUUUUGAAAGUUCAUGAUUACCUUGCUAGUUUGCUUGAAUUAUUAUUGUUUCCACGUCAAUAACAAACUAUUGUUUUGAAUAUAAUGGAUCUGAACAUUCACGUCACAUAAGAGGAAUUACAAAGGACACUUAUGCUAGGUAGCAUGAAAGCAUCAAAAAUUAAUUCUUUAUCACUUUCCUACUCGAGGACAAGAAGGAGUUAAGCUUGGGGAUGCUUGAUACGUAUCAAACGUAUCUAUAAUUUUUGAUGGUUUCACACUGUUAUCUUGUCUUCUUUGGAUCUUUUAUGUACCUUUUAUAUCUUUUUUGGGACUAACUUAUUAAUUCAGUGCCAAGUGCCAGUUCCUGUUUUUUCUGUGUUUUUGACUCUUUUCAGAUCUGAUUUUGGAACGGAGUCCAAACGGAAUAAAAACCCCGAAAUGAUUUUUUCCCGAACGGAAGAAUAUCAGGGGGCCUUUGGGCCAAGCCAGGUAGGCUCCAGGGAGCCCACAAGCCCCCACUCCGCCACCAGGGGGAGGCGGCGGUGUCAGGGCUUGUGGCCUCCCUGGCCGCCCCCUGACCUAGAUCCUUGGCCUAUAUAUUCCCAAAUAUUCAGCAAAAAAUCAGGGGAGCCUCGAAAAUACUUUUUCGCCGCCGCAAGCUUCCGUUUCCGCGAGAUCUCAUCUGGAGACCCUUCCCGGCACCCUGUCGGAGGGGACUUCGGAGUUGGAGGGCUUCUUCAUCAUCAUCAUCGCCCCUCCAAUGACCUGUGAGUAGUUCACUUCAGACCUACGGGUCCGUAGUUAGUAGCUAGAUGGCUUCUUCUCUCUCUUGGAUCUUCAAUACAAAGUUCUCCAUGAUCUUCAUGGAGAUCUAUCCGAUGUAAUCUUCUUUGGCGGUGUGUUUGUCGAGAUCCGAUGAAUUGUGGAUUUGUGAUCAGAUUAUCUAUGAUAUAUAUUUGAGUCUUUGCUGAUUUCUUAUAUACAUGAUUUAGUAUCCUUGUAACUCUCUCCGAGUCUUGGGUUUUGUUUGACCAACUAGAUCUAUGAUUCUUGCAAUGGGAGAAGUGCUUGGUUUUGGGUUCUACCAUGUGGUGACCUUUCCUAGUGACAGUAGGGGCAGCAAGGCACACAUCAAGUAGUUGCCAUCAAGGGUAAAAAGAUGGGGUUUUUAUCAUUGGUUUGAGAUUAUCCCUCUACAUCAUGUCAUCUUGCUUAAGGCGUAUCUCUGUUCUUAUGGACUUAAUACACUAGAUGCAUGCUGGAUAGCGGUCGACGUGUGGAGUAAUAGUAGUAGAUGCAGAAAGUAUCGGUCUACUUGUUUUGGAUGUGAUGCCUAUAGAUAUAAUCAUUGCAUAGAUAUCGUCACGACUUUGCGUGGUUCUAUCAAUUGCUCGACAGUAAUUUGUUCACCCACCGUCUACUUGCUUUCAUGAGAGAAGCCACUAGUAAACACUACGGCCCCGGGGUCUAUUCACAUCCAUCGUUUACACCUCCACUUUUACUUUGCUUUGUUACUUUGUUGCUUUCAGUUCUCACUUGGGAAACAAUCUAUAAGGGAUUGACAACCCCUUCAUAGCGUUGGGAGCAAGCUUUUGUGUUUGUGCAGGAUCUUGUGACACUCCUCCACCGGAUUGAUACCUUGGUUCUCAAACUGAGGGAGAUACUUACCACCGUUGUGCUACAUCACCCUUUCCGCUUCGAGGGAACACCAUCGCAAGGCUCCAAGGCCACGGGGGAAAUCCUUUGCAUACUUUCCUAGGAAGUCCCUUAAGGCGUAGCCGCAGCUAAAGGAUUCUUGGUGCCGUCGACACGACUAUUCUUGGCGCCGUUGCAAGGGAAGCACAUCUGACAUCAAUCCCCCCAAAGAGAAGUGGUUUAAGUAUCAUCCUCCUUUAGAAGUCAAUGUAGUUAAACCCACUCCAGUUGAAGAGAAAGUCAUUGCCUAUAAUGAUCCUGUUGUACCGAGUGCUUACAUUGAGAAAUCACCUUUCCAUGUUAGGAUAAAGGAUCAUUCUAAAGCUUCAACUGUCAUAUGUAGAGGCUAUAUUAGAACACGUACACCCCGUGAGCAAAUUAGAGUUGAACCUAGCAUUGCUAUUAUCAAAGAUCUUCUGUCUGAAGAAGUUAAGGGACAUAAUAUUCACUUCUGUGAAGAUGCUGCUAGAAUUGCUAAACCUCACGUUAGAGACAAACAUAUGCCUGUUGUUGGCAUGCAUGUGGUUUCUGUUAAGAUAGGAGAUCAUUGUUAUCAUGGUUUAUGUGACGUGGGUGCUAGUGUUAGUGCAAUACCUCAAUCAUUAUACGAUGAAAUCAAAGAUGAGAUUGCACAUGUUGAGAUAGAGCCUAUUGACGUCACUAUUCAGCUUGCCAAUAGAGACACUAUCUGCCCUAUGGGAAUUGUUAGAGAUGUUGAAGUCUUGUGUGGUAAAACGAAGUAUCCUGCUGAUUUCCUCGUUCUUGCUAUUGCACAAGAUAGCUUUUGUCCCAUCAUAUUUGGCAGACCCUUCCUCAAUACCGUCGAUGCUCAUAUUGAUUGUGAGAAGCAAUCUGUCACUGUUGGCUUUGAAGGUGUGUCACAUGAGUUCAAUUUCUCUAAGUUUGGUAGACAACCUAAUGAAAAAGAGUUGCCUAGUAGGGAUGAAACUAUUGCCUUAGCUUCUAUUGCCGUGCCUCCUACUGAUCCAUUAGAUAAAUACUUGCUUGAGCAUGAAAAUGAUAUGCAUAUGGAUGAAAGGGAUGAGAUAAAUAGAGUUGUGCUACUGCAACAAAAGACCUUCCAACGGCGCCAGAAAUACUUCUGACGUUUCCUAUGUAUCCCUGGCAAUGGCGCCAGAAAUAGGCACGUCGACGGGAGAAUACGUGGCUUGAUCUUUUUGCUGCGGCUACGCCUUAAGGGACUUCCUAGGCAAGUAUGCAAAGGAUUUCCCCCGUGGCCUUGGAGCUUUGCGUUGGUGUUCCCUCAAAGCAGAAAGGGUGAUGUAGCGUAGCUGUGGUAAGUAUUUCCCUCGGUUUGAGAACCAAGGUAGCAGUCCGGCGGAAGAGUAUCUCAAGAUCCUGCACAAACACAAAAGCUUGCACCCAACACUAUGAAGGGGUUGUCAAUCCCUUAUAGAUUGUUUGCCAAGUGAGAACUGAAAAGCAACAAAGUAACAAAGCAAAGUAAAAGCGGAGUUGUAAACGAUGGAUGUGAAUAGACCCGGGGGCCGUAGUGUUUACUAGUGGCUUCUCUCAUGAAAGCAAGUAGACGGUGGAUGAAGAAAUUACUGUCGAGCAAUUGAUAGAACUGUGCAGAGUCGUGACGAUAUCUAUGCAAUGAUUAUUUCUAUAGGCAUCACGUCCGAAACAAGUAGACCGAUACUGUCUGCAUCUACUACUAUUACUCCACACAUCGACCGCCAUCCAGCAUGCAUCUAGUGUAUUAAGUCCAUAAGAACAGAGUAACGCCUUAAGCAAGAUGACAUGAUGUAGAGGGAUAAUCUCAAAUCAAUGAUAAAAACCCCAUAUUUUUACCCUUGAUGGCAACUGCUUGAUGUGUGCCUUGCUGCCCCUACUGUCACUGGGAACGGUCACCACAUGGCAGAACCCAAAACCAAGCACUUCUCCCAUUGCAAGAAUCAUAGAUCUAGUUGGCCAAACAAAACCCAAGACUCGGAGAGACUUACAAGGAUAGCACGGCCUAAAGGCUCCCUGGACUUCUUCCAUUCGGGAAAAAAUCAUUUCGGGGUUUUUCUUCCGUUUGGACUCUGUUCCAAAAUCAGAUCUGAAAAGAGUCAAAAACACGGAAAAACAGGAACUGACACUUGGCACUGAAUCAAUAAGUUAGCCCCAAAAAAUAUAUAAAAAGAUACAUAAAACAAACAAAGAAGACAAGACAACAGCGUGAAACCAUAAAAAAAUAUAGAUAUGUUUGAGACGUAUCAAGUUGUCUUAGAACAAUAUCAUAUUCUUAAGAAUAAUGUGCCUGUUGAACUGCUUGGGGAUCCACCUCCACCAAAGGGUGAUCCUGUGUUCAAGCUUAAACAGUUGCCUGAUACUCUUAAGUAUGCCUAUCUUGAUGAAAAAGAGAUAUAUCCUGUUAUUAUUAGUGCUAGCCUCUCAGAGCAUGAAGAAAAGAAGUUACUAAAAACUGUGAGGAAGCACCGUGCUGCUAUUGGAUAUACUCUUGAUGAUCUUAAAUGCAUUAGUCCCACUCUAUGCGAGCACAAGAUCAAAACUGAUCCUGAUUUCAAACCAGUUGUUGCUCAUCAAAGGAGAUUGAAUCCUAAGAUGAAAGAGGUAGUAAGAAAAGAAAUACUAAAGCUCCUCGAAGCGGGUAUUAUCUAUCCUGUUGCUCAUAGCGAUUGGGUGAGUCUGGUGCAUUGUGCUCCUAAGAAGGGAGGCAUUACCGUUGUCCCUAAUGAUAAGGAUGAAUUGAUCCCACAGAGGAUUAUUACUGGCUAUAGGAUGGUGAUCGAUUUCAGGAAAUUGAAUAAAGCCACUAGGAAAGAUCAUUACCCUCUGCCUUUUAUCGACCAAAUGCUAGAAAGACUGUCUAAACACACACACUUUUGCUUUCUAGACGAUUAUUCUGGUUUCUCCCAAAUACGAGUUGCACAAUCUGAUCAGGAGAAAACCACGUUCACCUGCCCUUUCGGUACCUUUGCUUAUAGACGUAUGCCUUUUGGCUUAUGUAAUGCACCUGCCACUUUUCAAAGAUGUAUGAUGGAUGUAUUCUAUUACUUUUGUGAAAAGAUUGUCGAGGUUUUCAUGGAUGACUUCUCCGUUUACGGGUCUUCCUUUGAUGAUUGCCUCAGCAACCUUGAUCGAGUCUUACAGAGAUGUAAAGACACCAACCUUGUCUUGAAUUGGGAGAAGUGCCACUUUAUGGUUAAUGAAGGCAUCGUCUUAGGACAUAAAAUUUCUGAAAGAGGUAUUAAAGUCGAUAAUGCUAAGGUUAAUGCAAUCGAGAAAAUGCCAUACCCCACAGAUAUCAAAGGUAUAAGAAGUUUCCUUGGUCAUGUUGGUUUCUAUAGAAGGUUCAUUAAAGACUUCUCUAAGAUUUCUAGGCCUCUUAUCAAUCUCUUGCAAAAGGAUAUUCCUUUUGUUUUUGACGAUGAUUGUGAGGAAGCCUUCGAAAUACUUAAGAGGGCUUUGAUAACUGCACCUAUUGUUCAACCACCUGAUUGGAACCUGCCUUUUGAGAUCAUGUGUGAUGCUAGUGAUUAUGCUGUUGGUGUUGUUCUAGGGCAAAGAGUUGAUAAGAAGUUGAAUGUUAUUCACUAUGCUAGUAAAACUCUAGACAGUGCCCAGAGAAACUAUGCUACUACGGAGAAGGAAUUUUUAGCAGUCGUGUUUGCAUGUGAAAAGUUCAGGUCUUGCAUAGUUGAUUCCAAAGUCACUAUUCACACUGAUCAUGUUGUUGUUAAGUACCUCAUGGAGAAGAAGGACGCUAAACCUAGACUUAUCAGAUGGGUUCUCUUGCUACAAGAAUUUGAUUUGCACGUUGUCGACAGAAAGGGUGCUGAUAACCCAGUAGCAGAUAACUUGUCUAGGUUGGAGAAUGUUCUUGAUGACCCACAACCUAUUGAUGAUAGCUUUCCCGAUGAGCAAUUGAAUGUCAUCAAUGCUUCACGUAGUGCACCGUGGUAUGCUGAUUAUGCGAACUAUAUCGUUGCCAAAUACAUACCACCUAGUUUCACGUACCAGCAAAAGAAGAAAUUUUUCUUUGACUUGAGACAUUACCAGCAAAGGAAGGAGUAGAUGGUGCUAUUAGACGUUGCGUACCUGAACAUGAACAUGGACAGAUCCUACAGAAGUGUCACUCCGAGGCCUACGGAGGACACCAUGCGGGAGACAGAACUGCACACAAGGUAUUGCAAUCAGGUUUCUAUUGGCCCACUCUCUUCAAGGAUGCCCGUAAGUUUGUCUUGUCUUGUGAUGAAUGUCAAAGAAUAGGUAAUAUUAGCAAACGUCGGGAAAUGCCUAUGAACUAUUCACUUGUCAUUGAACCAUUUGAUGUUUGGGGAUUUGAUUAUAUGGGACCUUUUCCAAAAUCCAACGGGUAUACGCAUAUCUUAGUUGAUGUUGAUUACGUCACUAAGUGGGUAGAAGCUAUCCCCACUAGUAGUGCUGAUCACAACACCUCUAUUAAGAUGCUGAAAGAAGUUAUCUUCCCUAGAUUUGGAGUCCAUAGAUAUCUAAUGACCGACGGUGGUUCACACUUCAUUCAUGGUGCUUUCCGUAAAACGCUUGCUAAGUACGAUGUCAACCAUAGAAUUGCGUCUCCCUAUCACCCUCAGUCCAGUGGUCAAGUAGAGCUAAGUAAUACAAAGAUUAAACUGAUUCUGCAAAAGACUGUCAACAGGUCUAGAAAGAAUUGGUCUAAGAAGCUCGACGAUGCACUGUGGGCUUAUAGAACUGCCUAUAAGAAUCCCAUGGGCAUGUCUCCGUACAAAAUGGCGUACGGUAAAGCCUGCCAUUUACCUCUUGAGCUAGAGCAUAAAGCUUAUUGGGCAAUCAAAGAGUUCAACUUUGAUUUCAAACUUGCCGGUGAGAAGAGGUUAUUUGAUAUUAGCUCGCUUGAUGAGUGGAGAACUCAGGCAUAUGAGAAUGCCAAGCUGUUCAAAGAGAAGGUUAAGAGGUGGCAUGAUAAGAGGAUACAAAAGCGUGAGUUCAAUGUAGGUGAUUAUGUCUUGCUAUAUAACUCUCGUUUAAGAUUCUUUGCAGGCAAGCUUCUCUCUAAAUGGGAAGGUCCCUAUGUUGUUGAGGAAGUAUAUCGUUCCGGUGCUAUCAAGAUCAACAACAAGGAAGGUAAUUGUCCGAGAGUGGUCAAUGGGCAGAGAAUCAAGCAUUAUAUCUCAGGUACUCCCAUAAAUGUUGAAAGUAAUAUCAUCAAUACCAUAACUCCGGAAGAAUACCUAAGGGACAUUUAUCAGCCUAUUUCAGACUCCAAAAACGAAGAGGUAUGUGAUUCGGUAAGAAAACAGAGCCCAAAACUUUUCCAAUAGGAAUUUUUCUCCGUUUAGGAAUAUUUGAAAAAAAUACAAAAAUUGGAAGUAGUCCGGAAAGUGCGCGAGGAGGCGACAAGCCUGCACGGCGCGGGCCCACCCCCUGGCCGCGCCGUGAGGGCUUGUGGCCACCUCGUGCGCCUCCCGGACUCUGUUUUCGUGCAUGGGACUCCUUCUGGUCUGGAAAAAAUCAUUAUAUAUACUCCCGUUUGGUCUGACCCCUGCAUCACGCAGAUUUCCUCUGUUUUUUGUUUCGAGCUUGUUUCUGUUGCAGAUCUAGAUUGCCAUGACUUCCCCAAAAGCUCCUAAGGACAAGAUCUUCGAGAAGGUCAUCAAUCCCUACCUCGCGGGAGUGCUGCAACACCCUCAAUCUAUCGAGAUGCAUGAGGGGAUGUUGCACAUCCGUGAUGUUGAGGGGCCUAAGAAGACCGGAAGCGUGGAGACGAGGCUCGAAGCAAUGGAGCAGCAAGUCUUCAAGUGCCAAGGGAUGGUGGAGCGUGGACUCAACGCCAACCACAUGAUGAUCACGGAGUUCACCAACAAGCACAGGAUUGAUGCCAAUGACAUUGGGAAGCACCUCUCCAAGCUCUAUGACAGGGUUGAUCAACUCCAGGACCAGAUCUAUGACCUGCAGAACGAAAACUGUGAGUAUGAGUAUAGAUUUAAAUCAAUAAGGUUGGCUGCAGAUUUGAGGAUUCCGGAGACUCGAUCAUUUUUCCAUGAUGGAGCACCUAUGCCUUGGAAGACGGAGGAUCAAACUCAUGUUGCAACAACUCCACCAUCACCACCAAAGGAAGACAACUGAUCAUUGGUAUGGGCAAUCCCCUUGGCUUGUGCCAAGCUUGGGGGAGUUGCCCCGGUAUCGUAUCACCAUCACAUCUUUUGCCUUUACCUUUGUUUUAGUUUUCCUUUUCAGUUUUCUUUUUCUCUAGUAGUUUAAAAGUCUUAGUGUUUUAAGUCUUGAGUUUUGCUUUGUGUCACCCCCGUUGUAUUCUUGCUCGUGAGCCAUAUAAUAAAGAGUGUCUUAGUUGAAGGGCUUUGCCUCUUGCCAUGAUCAAAAGAGUGAGAAUAGAACAAAAGCAUGAAAGAUCAUGUAAUGAUCUUAUGGGAAGUGAUGGCUUCACAUAUAAAAAGAAUGAGGAUUGAAACUUGUUGAGGGUAGAAAAACAUAGACCUUGGUCAUUGUUGCAAUUAAUAGGAAGUGAUAAAGAAGGAGAGGUUCACAUAUGAAUAUAUCAUCUCUGACACCAUCUAUGAUUGUGAACACUCACUAAACUAUUGCAUGCCUAGAAGUAGAUGUUGGACAAGGAAGACAACGUAAUGAAUUGUGUUUGCUUGGCUCUGAACAAUGUUAUAUGAUUAGAGAUCCCUUAGCAUGUGACGAUUGCUUCCACCUCAUAUUAGCCAAACCUCCCGCACUAAGUAGAGAUACUACUUGUGCAUCCAUAAACCUUCAAACCAGUUUUUCCUUGAGUGUCCACCAUACCUACCUAUGGAUUGAAUAAGAUCCCUCAAGUAAGUUGUCAUCGGUGCAAGCAAUAAAAAUUGCUCUCUAAUAUGUAUGAUCUAUUAGUGUGUGGAAAAUAAGCUUUAUACGAACCUGUGAUGAGGAAGACAUAAAAGCGACGGACUGCAUAAUAAAGUUCUUUAUCACAAGGGGCAAUAUAAAGUGACGUUCCUCUACACUAAGAGGACACGCAUCCAAACCUUAAAAGCGCAUGACAACCUCUGCUUCCCUCUGCGAAGGGCCUAUCUUGUACCUUUACUUUUUGUCCCUGAAAGAGUCAUGGUGAUCUUCACCAAUUCCUUAUUUUGCCUUUGUCUUGGCUACCGUCACAUGCUAGGGAAAGNNNNNNNNNNNGUCACAUGCUAAGGAAAGAUCUAUAUUCAUAUGUCAACUUGGAGGUAAGUAUUCAUGAAUUAUUAUUGUUGACAUUACCCUUGAGGUAAGCAGUUGGGAGGCAAAACUAUAAGCCCCUAUCUUUCUCUAUGUCCAGCUGAAACUUUGAUCUCAUGAGUACCACGUGAGUUGUAGCAAUUGUAGAGAACGAAAGAAUGAUUGAGUAUGUGGAUUUGCUUUACAAGCUCUUAUUGACUCUUUCUGAUGUUGUGAUAAAUUGCAAUUGCUUCAAUGACAAAAGGCUAUCGGUUGUUACUUCUCGGUAAGGUUCUUGAUCCAUGCUUUACUUUGUGAAGGAAUUAUCACUUUAGCAUGAGAGAUUAUAUGUUGGUAUUGCUGUUCUGAUCUUGAUCAUGAUGCAUGCAUGUUCGUAUCAUGUUUUGUCGACACCGCUCUCCCUAAACAUGUGGACAUAUUUAUUGAGCUCAGCUUUCGCUUGAGGACAAGCGAGGUCUAAGCUUGGGGGAGUUGAUACGUCCAUUUUGCAUCAUGCUUUCAUGUUGAUAUUUAUCGCUUCUUGGGCUGUUAUUUCACUUCACGGUACAAUUCUUAUGCCUUUUCUCUCUUAUUUUGCAAGGUUUACAUGAAGAGGGAGAAUACCGGCAACUGGAAUUCUGGCCUGAAAGUGGAGCAAGUUUGAGAUACCUAUUCUGCGCAACUCCAAAUGCCGUGAAAAUCAACGGGGAUUUGUUUCCCGAUUUAUCAAAAAUAAUGGGCCGAAGAAGUACCAGAGGGGCACCAGGGGGUGCCCACAAGCCUGCACGGCGCGGCCACCCCCCAGGCCGCGCCAUGGGGGCUUGUGGGCAGCCCACUGGCCCACUGGCCCCCCUCUUUUGCUAUAUGGAGGGUUUCGUCCAAGAAAAAAUCAUGGAGGAGCUUUUUCAUGGUUUCGUCGCCGCCACGAGGCGGAACUUGAGCAGAACCAAUCUAGAGCUCCGGCAGGAUGAUCCUGCCGGGGAAACUUCCCUCCCAGAGGGGGAAAUCGUCGCCAUCGUCAUCACCAACACUCCUCUCACCGGAGGGGACUCGUCACCAUCAACAUCUUCAUCAACACCAUCUCAUCUCCAAACCCUAGUUCAUCACUUGUAACCAAUCUCCGUCUCGCGACUCUGAUUGGUACUUGUAAGGUUGCUAGUAGUGUUGUUUACUCCUUGUAGUUGAUGCUAGUUGGAUUAUUUGGUGGAAGAGUUUAUGUUCAGAUCCUUGAUUCUACUCAUUACCUCUCUGGUCAUGAAUAUGAUUAUGCUUUGUGAGUAGUUCGUUUUGUUCCCGAGGACAUGGGAUAAGUCAUGCUAAUAGUAGUCAUGUGAAUUUGGUAUUCGUUCGGUAAUUUGAUAUGUUGUAUGUUGUUUUUCCUCUAUUGGUGUUAUGUGAACGUCGACUACAUAACACUUCCUUGUUCAUGAUAAUCGUCUAUUGUUCAUGCUAUAAUUGUAUUAACAGGAAACAGUAAUACAUGUGUGAAUAAAUAGAUCACAAUGUGUCCCUAGCAAGCCUCUAGUUGGCUAGCUCGUUAGUCAAUAGAUGAUCAUGGUUUCUUGGUCAUGGGCAUUAGAUGUCAUUGAUAACGGGAUCACAUCAUUGGGAGAAUGAUGUGAUGGACAAGACCCAAUCCUAAGCAUAGCACUAGAUCGUAUUGUUCGUAUGCUAAAGCUUUUCUAAUGUCAAGUGUCUUUUCCUUCGACCGUGAGAUUGUGCAACUCCCGGAUACCGUAGGAGUGCUUUGGGUGUAUCAAACGUCACAACGUAACUGGGUGACUAUAAAGGUGCACUACGGGUACCUCUGAAAGUGUAUGUUGGGUUGGUACGAAUCGAGAUCGGGAUUUGUCACUCUGCGUGACGGAGAUGUAUCUCUGGGCCCACUCGGUAGAACAUCAUCAUGAGCUCAAUGUGACUAAGGAGUUAGUCACACGAUGACGUGCUAUGAAACGAGUAAAGAGACUUACCGGUAACGAGAUUGAACAAAGUAUAGGUAUACCGACGAUCGAAUCUCGGGCAAGUUCUAUACCGACAGACAAAGGGAAUUGUAUACGGGAUUGAUUGAAUCCUUACCGAAAGUUGUUCGGAGUCUCGGAUGAGACCCCGGACGUCACGAGGAGCUCCAGAAUGGUCCGGAAGUAAAGAUUGAUAUAUAGGAUGGAUGGUUUUGGACAUCGGAAAUGUUUCGGGCGUCACCGGUAAUGUACCGGGGGGUCCAUCGGGAGGGGCCACCAGCCCCAAGAGGUAGCAUGGGCCAAAAGAGGGAGGGCAAGCAGCCCAAAGUGGGCUGGUGCGCCUCCCACAAGGAGGCCCAAGGCGCAGGAGGUGGAGAAGGGGGGAAACCCUAGGCGCUGGUGGGCCUAAGGCCCACCUAAGGGUGUGCCACCCCCUCCCCCUGCCCUGGCCACCGCACCUCCCAUUUUGGGGGGGCUUCCGCACCACCUAGGGUGGUAACCCUAGGGGUGGCACCCCCCCUCCCCUCCUCCUAUAUAUAGUGGGGGUUUUGGGGCUGUUUUGACACACAAUUUUCCCUCUCCCUCGGCGCAGCCCUGCCCCCUUCUUCCUCCUCUCCCAUGGUGCUUGGCGAGCCAGGUUUUCUAUGCGUAGAUUCUAUGCACGAGUAGAACACAAAAGGUUGUGGGCGAUGAUUUUUCAAUUGCUUGCCGCUACUAGUCUUAUUCUUUUCCAGCGGUAUUGUGGGAUGAAGCGGCCCGGGCCGACAUUACACGUACGCUUACGUGAGACUAGUUUCACUAACACACAUGCACACCGUGCAUAAAGGUGGCUAGCGGGUGUCUGUCUCUCCUACUCUAGUCGGAUUGGAUUUGAUUAAAAGGGUCCUUAUGAAGGGUAAAUAGCUUUGGCAUAUCAUUGUUGUGGCUGUCACGUAGGUAAGAAUGCAUUCUUGCUAGAAACCCAAAGCAGCCACGUAAACGUUGCAACAACAAUUAGAGGACGUCUAACUUGUUUUUGCAGGGUUUGACAUGUUAUGUGAUAUGGCCAAAGUUGUAAUGUUGCAUGUAUGAUGUAUGAGAUGAUCUAUAAUAGGUUUCACGACUUGCAUGUCGAUGAGUAUAACAACCGGCAGGAGCCAUAGGAGUUGUCUUAAUUUAUUGUAUGAGAUGCAACGCCAUGUGCUUACUACUUUUACUUCAUUGCUAACGGUUAGCUAUAGUAGUAGUGAUAGUAGUAGUUGGCGUGACGACUUCAUGGAGACACGAUGAUGGAGAUCAUGAUGAUGGAGAUCAUGGUGUCACGCCGGUGACAAUGAUGAUCAUGCGAUGCCUGAAGAUGGAGAUCGAAAGAGCAAAGAUGAUAAUGGCCAUAUCAUGUCACUAUAUGAUUGCAUUGUGAUGUUUAUCAUGUUUUUCAUCUUAUUGCUUAGAACGACGGUAGCAUAAUAAGAUGAUCCCUCUUAAAAUUUCGAGAACGUAUUCCCCUAAGUGUGCACCGUUGCGAAGGAUCAUUGUCUCGAAGCACCAUGUGAUGAUCGGGUUUGAUAGAUUCUAACGUUCGCAUACAACGGGUGUAAGCCAGAUUUACACACGCGAAACACCUAGGUUGACUUGACGAGCUUAGCAUGUACAGACAUGACCUCGAAUACAAGAGACCGAAAGGUUGAACAUGAGUCGUAUGGUUGAAUACGAUCGGCAUGAAGUUGCUCACCAUGAUGACUAGUCCGUCUCACGUGAUGAUCGGACACGGGUUAGUUAACAUGGAUCAUGUAUCACUUAGAUGACUGGAGGGAUGUCGAUUUAAGUGGGAGUUCAUACUUAAUUUUAUUAAAUGAACUUAAUUGUCAUGAACUUAGUCUAAAAGUUGUCUUUAUAAAUAUUGUAGAUGGCCAACGUCAACCUCAAUUUCAACGCAUUCCUAGAGAAAAACAAGCUGAAAGAUGAUGGUAGCAACUAUGCGGACUGGGUUCGCAACUUGAAGCUCAUCCUUGAAGCAACUAAAAUGGCUUAUGUCCUUGAUGCGCCGCUAGGUGACCCUCCCGCUCCCGCAGCAGCCCAGGACAUUCUGAAUGUCUGGCAAACGCGGAGUGAUGACUACUCUCUGGUUAGGUGUGGCAUGUUAUACAGUUUGGAAACGGGGCUCCAAAGGCGUUUUGAGCAACAUGGUGCAUAUGAGAUGUUCCAAGAGCUGAAACUAGUUUUCCAAGCUUAUGCCCGUGUCGAGAGAUAUGAAGUCUCCGACAAGUUAUUUAGCUGUAAGAUGGAGGAGAACGGUUCUGUUAGUGAGCACAUACUCAAAAUGUCUGGGUUACACAGUCGUCUGACUUCACUUGGAGUCGAACUUCCGGAUGAUGCUAUAAUUGAAAGAAUCCUCCGGUCUCUCCCACCAAGCUACAAAGGUUUUGUGCUGAACUAUAACAUGCAAGGGAUGGAGAAGACCAUUCCCGAGUUGUACUCGAUGCUCAAGUCUGCAGAAGUAGAAAUCAAGAAAGAGCAUCAAGUGUUGAUGGUCAACAAGACCACUAGUUUCAAGAAGGGCAAGGGUAAGAAGAACUUCAAGAAAGACGGCAAAGCCGUUGCCGCGCCCGGUAAGCCAGAUGCCGGGAAGAAGAAAAAGAAUGGACCCAAGCCUGAGACUGAGUGCUUCUAUUGCAAGGGAAAAGGUCACUGGAAGCGGAACUGCCCCAAAUACUUAGCGGACAAGAAGGCCGGCAACGUUAAAGGUACAUGUGAUAUACAUGUUAUUGAUGUGUACCUUACCAGCGCUCGUAGUAGCUCCUGGGUAUUUGAUACCGGAGCUGUUGCUCACAUUUGCAACUCAAAGCAUGAACUGUGGAAUAAGCGGAGACUGGCCAAGGACGAGGUGACGAUGCGCGUCGGGAAUGGCUCCAAGGUCGAUGUGAUCUCCGUCGGCACGUUACCUCUACAUCUACCAUCGGGAUUAGCUUUAAACCUUAAUAAUUGUUAUUUAGUACCAGCUUUGAGCAUGAAUAUUGUAUCAGGGUCUUCCUUAAUGCGAGACGGCUACUCAUUUAAGUCAGAUAAUAAUGGUUGUUCUAUUUAUAUGAGUGAUAUGUUUUAUGGUCAUGCUCCGCCGGUGAAUGGUUUAUUCUUGAUGAAUCUCGAUCGUGAUGUUACACAUAUUCAUAGUGUGAGUACCAAAAGAUGUAAAGUUGAUAAUGAUAGUCCCACAUACUUGUGGCACUGCCGCCUUGGUCAUAUCGGUGUUAAGCGCAUGAAGAAGCUCCAUACUGAUGGACUAUUAGAGUCUCUUGACUUUGAAUCAUUUGACACAUGCGAACUGUGCCUCAUGGGCAAGAUGACUAAGACUCCAUUCUCAGGAAUAAUGGAGAGAGCAACCAACUUAUUGGAAAUAAUACAUACUGAUGUGUGUGGUCCAAUGAACGUUGAAGCUCGCGGUGGCUAUCGUUAUGUUCUCACUCUCACCGAUGAUUUGAGUAGGUAUGGGUAUAUCUACUUGAUGAAGCACAAAUCUGAGACGUUUGAAAAGUUCAAGGAUUUUCAGAGUGAGGUCGAGAAUCAACAUGACAGAAAAAUUAAGUGUCUACGAUCUGAUCGUGGAGGAGAAUAUUUGAGUCACGAGUUUGGCACACACCUAAGGAAGUGUGGAAUCGUUUCACAACUGACGCUGCCUGGCACACCACAACGCAAUGGAGUGUCUGAACGUCGUAAUCGCAUUUAUUAGAUAUGGUACGAUCUGUGAUGUCUCUUACCGACUUACUGCUAUCAUUUUGGGGAUACGCAUUAGAAACUGCAACAUUCACUUUAAAUAGGGCACCGUCUAAAUCCGUUGAGACGACACUGUAUGAACUAUGGUUUGGCAAGAAACCUAAGUUGUCGUUUCUUAAAGUUUGGGGCUGAGAUGCUUAUGUGAAGAAACUUCAACCAGAAAAGCUCGAACCCAAAGCGGAGAAAUGUGUAUUCAUAGGAUACCCUAAGGAAACUAUUGGGUAUACCUUCUAUCUUAGAUCCGAAGGUGAAACCUUUGUUGCCAAGAACGGAUCCUUUCUAGAGAAAGAGUUUAUCCCGAAAGAAGUAAGUGGGAGGAAGGUAGAACUUGAUGAGGUAAUUACACCCCUUCUCGAACAGGAAAGUAGCGCAGCGCGGGAAAUUGUUCCUGUGGCGCCUGCACCAACUAAAGAGGAAGUUAAUGAUACUGAUGAUGAAGCUUCGGAUCAAGUUACUACUGAAGCACGAAGGUCCACAAGGGCACACUCCGCACCAGAGUGGUACGACAACCCUGUGAUGGAAAUCAUGUUGUUAGACAACGGUGAACCUUCGAACUAUGAAGAAGCGAUGGCGGGCCCAGAUUCCAACAAAUGGCUUGAAGCUAUGAAAUCCGAGAUAGGAUCCAUGUAUGAGAACAAAGUAUGGACUUUGGUGGACUUUCCCGAUGACCGACGAGCCAUAGAAAAUAAAUGGAUCUUCAAGAAGAAGACUGAUGCAAACGGUAAUGUAACCGUUUAUAAAGCUCGACUUGUCGCAAAGGGUUUUCGACAAAUUCAAGGAAUUGACUACGAAAAGACUUUCUCUCCCGUAGCGAAGCUAAAAUCAGUCUGAAUCAUGUUAGCAAUUGCCGCCUUUUAUGAUUAUGAAAUUUGGCAAAUGGAUGUCAAAACAACGUUCCUUAACGGGAACCUUAAGGAAGGGUUGUAUAUGAUGCAACCAGAAGGUUUUGUCGAUCCUAAGGAUGCUAACAAAGUGUGCAAGCUCCAGCGCUCCAUCUAAGGGCUGGUGCAAGCAUCUCGGAGUUGGAACAUUCGCUUUAAUGAGGUGAUUAAAGCGUUUGGGUCCAUACAGGUUUACGGAGAAGCCUGUCUGUACAAGAAAGUGAGUGGGAGCUCUGUAGCUUUCCUCAUACUGUAUGUGGAUGACAUAUUAUUGAUGGGGAAUAAUAUAGAGAUGUUGGAGAGCAUAAAGGCCUAUUUGAACAAGAGUUUUUCAAUGAAGGACCUUGGAGAAGCUGCAUACAUAUUAGGCAUCAAGAUCUAUAGAGAUAGAUCGAGGCACCUCAUAGGUCUUUCGCAAAGUACAUACCUUGACAAGAUAUUGAAGAAGUUCAAUAUUUAAAACUCAAAGAAAGGGUUCUUGCCAGUUUUGCAAGGUAUGAGAUUGAGUAAGUGUGACAGCCCGAUGCCGACGUCCCAGAAGAUUCCCCCUUUAUUCCGUUUCUGUCGUGUGGCUAUUUUAUUUUGUUGGUUGCAUCAUCAUUUAGUUUGCAUCGUCACAUCAUGCAUGGCAUCUUGCAUCGUCUGUCGCAUGUGGUGUAUUGAGUGUUGUGCUUCGAGUGAUCACCGAGUCGUAGAGCGAUAGUAGUUCCCCCCCUCUCUCCUCUUAUUUCAUUUUGUGGUUUUGCUAAAGUUCCGUUUUAACCCCUAUUUUAAAAAAAAUAAAGAUUCGUCUUUUUUUAAAGAAAAUCAUUUUAUUAAAUGUGGGGGCAACCCCUAGGUUUUGCUUUAUUUUUCCCCUUUGUUAUUUUUAAAAAAACUAGAGACCCUUUUAUUUAUAAAAGGGGUUUGGUUUUAUUCUUUUGUAAGAAAAGGGUUUUAUUUUAUUCUCUUGUUAAAAGGGUUUUAUUUUAAUUCUUAAAAAAAGGUUUCAUUUUUUUAUUUUGUUUAAAAAUGCCCAAGCUAUUUUAUAGUUGGGGUAUAUUUUUUCCAAAGGAGACAAAAGCGUUUUUUUUAAUUUUGUUAAAGGCUUUUCUUUUACUUGGGUUUUCUAUUUAGAAAUAAUAAUAAAAUAGAGGGAGGGAGAGAGCGAGCCCAGCCAGGCCAGGCCCAAGUUUCCUGCCUCACCUAGCGCCAGGAGCCCCCUCGUCCCUCGUCUCUCAUCUUCCCCUCGUGCGCCGCUCUGCCCGAUUCCCCUAGCGACAGGAGAGAGGUCGCUCGAUCCCUCCUCCCAUCUCCCUCCUUGAGCCCGUGCGCCAUCGUCCCUUCCUNNNNNNNNNNNNNNNNNNNNCCCCGUCCGCCAUCGUCCCUCCCCCCCCCCGCCAUGGCUGCUCUCCCCGCGCUGCCCUGCCGAGCCGAGGUGCCCGAGCGCCCACCUGCAGGUGCCCCGCGCCCCGCGCCUCCCCGUCGCCGCGCCCGCCCUGGUCGCCGCGCCGUGGCCUCCCGGUCGUCCGUGUCCGCGGCUCCCCUCUACGCGCCGCCGCCCUCCUGCCCGAGCCGCCGUCCCCGUGCGCCUCCGCGGCGCCGCCCCGUCAAGCUCCCGCGUCAUGGCCUUGCCGCGCCGCCUCGUCCAGCGCCAGGGCCCCUCGCCUCCUCGUGCUGGAGCACCGCCCUGCCAUGGCCCGGUCUCCUCCUCCUUGUUGCGCCUGCUGCCGCCGAUCCCCCCCGCGCCGCGAUGCUGUUUUGCUGCUGCUUGCCGAUUUUUGCUUGCUAUGUUGUUGUCUGUGUCGUUGGUUCUGUAGUUGUCGUGUUGUUGCGUGCCGUUUCGCUGUAGCUGUCGCUCGCUGUAGAUGCGUGGCUGGUGCAUGUUACUGCUUGCUGCCGCAUGUGCAUGUGCCGCUGGCCGAUGCUCUAGCGGCUGCUAGAUGGUGUUGCUUGCUGCCAGCUAGCUGCUGUUGUUGCCUGCCUGGCUGCUGCGUGCCAUGGCUUGCUAGCUGCUACUAAGUAGCGUAGUGCUUGCCGCUGCCUUGCUGCUGUUGCUAGUUGAUUAGUUACUGUGGCUGCUAGCCGAUAGUAGAUGUUGUAGCUUUGCAAGCCUGCGCCAUUGCUGUUGUUAGAUGGCAUGCCAUUAGCUGUUGCUGCUUGUGGUUGCCUGCCGUAGCUUGCCGUUAGAUGUUAGUUGCUAGCUGUUGCUGCUGUCGCUGAUUGCCGUCGCCGAAGACCGCAUGCGCCAUCCCCGCCACCGUGGCCCGACGACAAGUUCACGAGUACCACUACUCCCACGACAUCCUCGACGACCCCGGAAACGAGUUCGACUUUCGUCGCCGAAGACCGUGAACCACGACGCCGAGCGAACGACUACCGUCGACGAGACCGAGCACCUCGACUUCCACGACGAUCGUUGUUCUCCUUCACCGGACCGAACCGCUCCGAUAUGCACGCUUCGAAGGUAUACCGAUGAAACGUUGUCGUGACCGUGUGCAUGUGAUGUAUGAGUUGUAUGUAUGUUUGCACCAUAUGUUGCCCGUUGCACAUGUACUUCUUUUGUUGUGCCUCGACACAUGGGAACCCGGUAACCGGGAUCACCCCAUUCUUUAUUUACCGUCCCCGCACGCGCUCCCUAUUCGUUGGCACGGUAUCUCGACGAGUUGUCGUGAUAGGAACGUUGUCGUGGCAUCGUUUCCGGUUUUCCUCCAUGGUUGCCUCUCGCUCGCCGUGGCGACACCUGUUUCUUUCCCUUCUUGCCCGUGUUAUGAACUCGCAUGCAUGACGCAUUCAUGGCAUAUACAUAUUGUGUUGCAUGCCUCUUGUGCCGUAGCUCCGCUCUUUGCUCCGCGUGUUAACCGUCUAGGAUGUCGUGUANNNNNNNNNNNNNNNNNNNNNGUGUAGGACCAUCGCUUCACCCUUGCCAUGACAACAACAUUUAAUAUUGCAUGUUAAAUAAUCGGGAGUGAAUUAAAUAAUUAAUCGUGGAGUUUCGUCGAUAUGCAACCCAUUGCAUAUCGAGCUUCACUUAAUGCGUAGAGUUUGCUUGAGGUGAAUUGCCAUGUCAUCCCUUGCAUCGUUGAACUGAUCAUGCAUCAUAUUAGGUUGUGCAUCAUGCUGUGCAUCGUGUGGUGAAUAUUUGUGUUGAUGUUUGUUUCCGGUUUGCUCCAUUCCGAUAGAGUUCCGCAAGCGUGUCGGAAUGUGAGGACCCGUUCGACUACGUUGGUUCGCCGACUUCAUGGAGUCAUUCUUCUUCCAAGCGGGGUCUCAGACAAGAUGACCAUUUCCCCAGAUACCAUUACUAUCAUUGCCCUGCUAGUUUUAUCGUUUCUAUCGAUUAUGUCUCGUUGCCUACCACAUGUUAAAUAUCAGCCUCUCAACAAUGCCAUGAUAACCUUAAACCUGUUCGACCUAGCAAACCACUGAUUGGCUAUGUUACUGCUUGCUUAACCUUGUUGUUAGCGUUGCUAGUUGCAGGUGCAGAUGCUUCCAUGUGAUAACAUGGGUUCCUUGUCUUAUCACCAUAUUAAUGCUAUUUAAUUUAAUGGACCUAUAUACUUGGUAAAAGGUGGAAGGCUCGGCCUUUCUAGCCUGGUGUUUUGUUCCACCUUUGCCCCCUUAGUUUUCGGCUACCAGUGUUAUGUUCCAUAAUUGAGCGCUCCUAACACGUUCGGGGUUGUUAUGGGGACCCCCUUGAUAAUUCGUUUUAGAUUAAAGCUGGUCUGGCAAGGCCCAACUUUGGUACUACAUUUGCCUAAUCACUAAUGAACUGCAUAGGGAGUAAUUAACCCGAGGAUAAUUUAAUCAACCCCCGGGCCAGUGCUCCUCAUGAGUGUUGGUCCAAAUUGGCAGACUACGGGGCCACCGCGGGGCAACACGAGGUUUGGUUUCUCCUAGUGUGACCCAUCCGUCGUGUCCUGAGAACGAGGUACGCGACUCCUAUCGGGAUCGUCGACACGUCGGGCGGCCUUGCUGGAUUAGUUUUACCUUUGACGAGAUAUCUUGUGCAUCGGGAUUCCGGUGAUGCUUUGGGUAAUCUCAGAGUUGAGGUUUUCCACUAGGGAAUCCGACGAGAUCGCGAGUUUCGUGAUUGAGGAUUUCUAUGCGGCUUGUGGUAAUUUGUGAUGGACUAGUUGGAGCACCCUUGCAGGGUUAAAUCUUUUCGGAAAGCCGUGCCCACGAUUAUGUGGCAACGUGGAUAUUUUGUUUAACACUGGUUCUAGAUAACUCGAAGUUAAUUAAUUAAAAUAUGCCAACUGUGUGCGUAACCGUGACUGCCUCUUUCUAGAUAACUCGAAGGGUUACAUGACGCGAGCGCAUUGAUUGUUCAUUUGGAGUUGCUUCUUCUUCUUCUUCUUCAUCGAUCUAGGAUGGGUUCCAGGCCGGCAGCCUGGGAUAGCAAGGAUGGACGUCGUUCUUCUUUUUCUCGUUUGUUUUCGUCCGUAGCCGGACCCUGCUCUUACUCUUGAUGAUUAUGUAAUGUACUGAUGUGACUCUGAUGUAGCUUGUGGCGAGUGUAAGCCAACUCGUUAUAUAUCUCUUCUUUUCAGUACAUGUACUUGUAACGAUAUCCAUUCUUGCGACACGACGAGAUGCGCUUCUAUCCCUGACGAGGCCUUCGUGCCAAAUUGAGGAUAGGGUCACAUCUUGGGCGUGACAGUAAGACUAAGUCACCGACCACGACAGCAAAUAGAGAGAAGAUGAGUACUGUCCCCUACGCUUCAGCCGUAGGCUCUCUAAUGUAUGCCAUGCUGUGUACCAGACCUGAUAUAAACCUUGCCAUAAGUUUGGUAGGGAGGUACCAAAGUGAUCCAGGUAUGGAACACUGGACGGCGGUCAAGAAUAUCCUUAAGUACCUGAAGAGGACUAAGGAGAUGUUUCUCGUUUAUGGAGGUGACGAAGAGCUCGUCGUAAAGGGUUACGUCGUCGCUAGAUUCGACACAGAUCCGGAUGACUCUAAGUCACAGACCGGAUACGUAUAUGUUUUGGAUGGUGGGGCAGUGAGCUGGUGCAGCAGCAAGCAAGAAGUCGUGGCAACAUCUACAUGUGAAGCGGAGUACAUAGCUGCUUCAGAAGCGGCUCAUGAAGGAAUUUGGAUGAAGGAGGUCAUCACCGACCUUGGAGUGGUUCCAAGCGCGUCGGGUCCAAUGACGCUCAUGCAUGCCGCAGAUUAUACGCUCUUCUCUGAUAACACUGGGGCCAUUGCCAUAGCCAAGGAGCCUAGGUUUCACCGGAAGACCAAGCACAUCAAACACCGCUACAACUCCAUCCAGGACCAUGUCCAGAGUGGAGUAAUAGAGAUUUGUAAAGUACAUACGGAUCUGAAUGUCGCAAACCCGUUGACUAAACCUCUUCCACGAGCAAAACAUGAUCAACACCAUAAUGUUAUGGGUGUUCGAUACAUCACAAUGUAACUAGAUUAUUGACUCUAGUGCAAGUGGGAGACUCUUGGAAAUAUGCCCUAGAGGCAAUAAUAAAAUGGUUAUUAUCAUAUUUCCUUGUUCAUGAUAAUCGUCUAUUGUUCAUGCUAUAAUUGUAUUAACAGGAAACAGUAAUACAUGUGUGAAUAAAUAGAUCACAAUGUGUCCCUAGCAAGCCUCUAGUUGGCUAGCUCGUUAGUCAAUAGAUGAUCAUGGUUUCCUGGUCAUGGGCAUUAGAUGUCAUUGAUAACGGGAUCACAUCAUUGGGAGAAUGAUGUGAUGGACAAGACCCAAUCCUAAGCAUAGCACUAGAUCGUAUUGUUCGUAUGCUAAAGCUUUUCUAAUGUCAAGUGUCUUUUCCUUCGACCGUGAGAUUGUGCAACUCCCGGAUACCGUAGGAGUGCUUUGGGUGUAUCAAACGUCACCACGUAACUGGGUGACUAUAAAGGUGCACUACGGGUACCUCUGAAAGUGUAUGUUGGGUUGGUACGAAUCGAGAUCGGGAUUUGUCACUCUGCGUGACGGAGAUGUAUCUCUGGGCCCACUCGGUAGAACAUCAUCAUGAGCUCAAUGUGACUAAGGAGUUAGUCACACGAUGACGUGCUACAGAACGAGUAAAGAGACUUAUUAGUAACGAGAUUGAACAAGGUAUAGGUAUACCGACGAUCGAAUCUCGGGCAAGUUCUAUACCGACAGACAAAGGGAAUUGUAUACGGGAUUGAUUGAAUCCUUGACAUCGUGGUUCAUCCGAUGAGAUCAUCGUGGAACAAGUGGGAGCCACCAUGGGUAUCCAGACCCCGCUGAUGGUUAUUGGCCGGAGAGGUGUCUCGGUCAUGUCUGCCUGUCUCCCGAACCCGUAGGGUCUACACACUUAAGGUUCGAUGACGCUAGGGUUAUAGGGAAUUGUUAUACGAGGUUGCCGAAAUUUGUUCAGAGUCCCGGAUGAGAUCCCGGACGUCAUGAGGAGCUCCGGAAUGGUCCGGAGGUAAGGAUUGAUAUAUAGGAUGGAUGGUUUUGGACACCGGAAAUGUUUCGGGCGUCACCGGUAAUGUACCGGGACCACCGGAAAUGGUCCCGGGGGUCCAUCGGGAGGGGCCACCAGCCCCAAGAGGUAGCAUGGGCCAAAAGAGGGAGGGAAACCAGCCCAAAGUGGGCUGGUGCGCCUCCCACAAGGAGGCCCAAGGCGCAGGAGGUGGAGAAGGGGGGAAACCCUAGGCGCUGGUGGGCCUAAGGGGUGCGCCACCCCCUCCCAGUGCCGUGGCCGCCGCACCUCCCAUCUGGGGGGCUGUGCCGCACCACCUACGGUGGGAACCCUAGGGGUGGCACCCCCCUCCCCUCCUCCUAUAUAUAGUGGGGGGUUUUGGGGCUGUUUUGACACACAAUUUGCCCUCUCCCUCGAUGCAGCCCUGCCCCCCUUCUUCCUCCUCUCCCAUGGUGCUUGGCGAAGUCCUGCCGGGAGACCUCGUCUCUCCAUCGACACCACGCCGUCGUGCUGCCGGAGAUCUUCCCCAGCCUCUCCCUCCUCGUUGAUGGAUCAAGGUGCGGGAGACGUCACCGGGUUGCACGUGUGUUGAACGCGGAGGUGCCGUGGUUCGGCACUAGAUCGGAAUCACACCACGAUCUGAAUCGCCGCGAGUACGACUCCAUCAACCGUGUUCUAGCAACGCUUCCGCUUAGCGAUCUUCAAAGGUAUGAAGAUGCACUCACCCCUCUCUCAUUGCUGGUUUCUCCAUAGGAAGAUCUGAAUAUGGCGUAGGAUUUUUUUUGAAUUUAUGCUACGUUACCCAACAACAAUCACUUGUUACCGACAAUUUCAAUGCUUGCAGAUUUUAGCUUGCUAAAAACCACUUGUGAGAUCCUUCUGCUCCUCGUUGGGUUCGACACUCUUACUUAUCGAAAGGACUACGAUUGAUCCCCUAUACUUAUGGGUCAUCAAUCGCCGUCCAGUGAUCCACUCCUGGAUUACUUUGAAACCUGCCUGCCAUACUUAUGGCCAACAUUGCAUACAUGAUAGAACCUACGGCUGAAGCAUACGGGACGGUACUCAUCUUUUCUCUAUCUGCCUCAGUUGCUGGGCACUGAGUCUUACUCAACUUUAUACCUUGUAAUACUGGCAAGAACCCCUUCUUGGACUGUUCCAUUUUGAACUUCUUCAAAACUUUAUCAAGGUAUGUGCUUUGUGAAAGUCCUAUCAGGCGCCUCGAUCUAUCCCUAUAGAUCUUAAUGCCUAGAAUGUAAGAAGCUUCUCCUAGGUCCUUCAUUGAGAAACUUUUAUUCAAGUAAUCCUUUACGCUAUCCAAAAACUCCACGUUGUUUCCAAUCAGCAAUAUGCCAUCCACAUAUAAUAUUAGAAACGCCACAGAGCUCCCACUCACUUUCUUGUAAAUACAAGAUUCUCCAACAACUUGUAUAAACCCAAAUGCUUUGAUCACCCCAUCAAAGCGCUUAUUCCAACUUCGAGAUGGUUGCACCAGUCCAUAAAUGGAUUGCUGGAGCUUGCAUACUUUGUUAGCAUUCUUUGGAUCGACAAAACCUUCGGGUUGCAUCAUAUACAACUCUUCCUUAAGAAAACCGUUAAGGAACGCCGUUUUGACAUCCAUCUGCCAGAUUUCAUAAUCGAAAAAUGCAGUUAUUGCUAACAUGAUUCAGACGGACUUAAGCAUUGCUACCGAUGAGAACGUCUCAUCGUAGUCAACUCCUUGAACUUGUGAAAAACCCUUUGCCACAAGUCGAGCUUUAUAAACAGUCACAUUACCGUCUGCGUCCGUCUUCUUCUUAAAGAUCCAUUUGUUCUGAAUAGCCUUGCGACCUUAAGGUAAUACUUCCAAAGUCCACACUUUGUUUUCAUACAUAGAUCCUAUCGCGGACUUCAUGGCCUCCAGCCAUUUGUUGGAAUCCGGGCCCACCAUUGCUUCUUCAUAAUUCGCAGGUUCAUUGUUGUCUAACAACAUGAUUGAUAAGACAGGAUUACCGUACCACUCAGGUGCAGUAUGUGAUCUUGUCGACCUGCGAGGUCCGACAGUAACUUGAUCCGAAGCUGCAUGAUCAUCAUCAUUGACUUCCUCCUCAACCGGCGUCGCUUCGACACAGGUUUCCCCCUGCCCUGUGCCACCAUCUAGAGGGAGUAGCGGUUCUACAACCUCAUCAAGUUAUAUCUUCCUCCCACUCAAUUCUUUCGAUAGAAACUCCUUCUCAAGAAAAGCUUCGUUCUUAGCAACAAACACUUUGCCCUCGGAUCUGAGAUAGAGGGUGUACCCAACUGUCUCCUUUGGGUAACCUAUGAAGACACACUUUUCCGCUUUGGGUUCCAGCUUUUUAGGCUGAAGCUUUUUGACAUAAGCAUCACAUCCCCAAACUUUAAGAAACGAUAACUUUGGCCUCUUGCCAUACCACAGCUCGUAUGGUGUCGUCUCAACGGAUUUUGAUGGUGCCAUAUUUAAAGUGAAUGCAACUGUCUCCAAUGCAUAACCCCAAAAUGAUAACAGCAAAUCGGUAAGAGACAUCAUAGAUCGCACCAUUUCUAACAAAGUACGAUUACAACAUUCGGACACACCAUUACGCUGUGGUGUUCCAGGCGGUGUUAACUGUGAAACGAUUCCACAUAUUCUCAAGUGAGCACCAAACUAGAAACUCAGAUAUUCACCCCCACGAUCAGGCCGUAGGAACUUGAUCUUCUUGUUACGAUGAUUUUCAACUUCACUCUGAAAUUGCUUGAGCUUUCAAACGUUUCAGACUUGUGCUUCAUUAAGUAGAUAUAACCAUACUUACUCAAAUCGUCAGUGAAGGUGAGAAAAUAACGAUAUCUGCCGCGCGUCUCCACACUCAUUGGACCGCACACAUCGGUAUGUAUGAUCUCCAACAAGUCACUUGCACGCUCCAUUGUUCCGGAGAACGGAGUCUUAGUCAUCUUGCCCAUGAGGCAUGGUUCACACGUGUCAAGUGACUCCAAAAGUCCAUUGGAAUGGAGUUUCUUCAUGCGCUUUACACCAAUAUGACCUAAGCGGCAGUGCCACAAGAACGUGGCGUUAUCAUUGUUAACUCUACAUCUUUUGGUCUUAGUGUUAUGUAUAUGUGUAUCAUCACAAUCAAGAUUCAAUAUGAACAAUCCUCUCACAUUGGGUGCAUGACCAUAAAAGAUAUUACUCAUAGAAAUAGAACAACCAUUAUCCUCAGACUUAAACGAGUAACCGUCUCGCAAUAAACAAGAUCCAUAUAUAAUGUUCAUGCUUAACGCAUGAGCUGAAUAACAAUUAUUUAAGUUCAUAACUAAUCCUGAUGGUAAUUGAAGUGAGACUGUGCCGACGGCGAUUGCAUCAACCUUGGAACCAUUUCCCAUACGCAUCGUCACUUCAUCCUUCGCUAGCCUUCGUUUAUUCCGCAGUUCCUGCUUCGAGUUGCAAAUAUGAGCAACAUAACCAGUAUAAAAUACCCAGGCACUACUACGAGAGUUGGUUAAGUACACAUCAAUAACAUGUAUAUCACAUAUACCUCAUUUUUCCUUGGCCGCCUUCUUAUCAGCCAAAUACUUGGGGCAGUUGCGCUUCCAGUGACCCAUCCCCUUGCAAUAAUAACACUCUGUUUCUGGCUUAGGUCCAGCCUUGGGUUUCUUCAUCGGAUUGGCAACAGGUUUGCCGCUCUUCUUGGAGUUACCCUUCUUGCCUUUACCGUUUCUCUUGAAACCAGUGGUCUUAUUGACCAUCAACACUUGAUACUCUUUCCGAAGUUCUGACUCUGUGACUUUCAGCAUCGCGAAUAACUCGUCGGGUGACUUGUUCAUCCCUUGCAUGUUAUAGUUCAACACAAAACCCUUAUAGCUAGGUGGCAGUGAUUGAAGAAUUAUGUCAGUGAUAGCCUCUUGCGGGAGUUCAAUCCCCAGCUCAGGUAGACGGUUUGAGUACCCGGACAUUUUGAGCACAUGUUCACUGACAGACGAAUUCUCCUCCAUGUUGCAAGCAUAGAAUUUAUCGGAGGUCUCAUACCUCUCGAUCCAGGCGUUCUUCUGAAAGAUAAACUUCAACUCCUGGAACAUCUUAUAUGCUCCAUGACGCUCAAAGCGACGUUGAAGUCUCGGUUCUAAGCCAUAUAAGACUGCACAUUGAACUACUAAGUAGUCCUCCUUACAUGUUAACCAGGCAUUCAAAACAUCUUGGCUAGACGUAGCGGGUGGUUCAUCUCCUAGCGCUGCAUUAAGGACAUAAUCCUUAUUUCCAACUUGCAGGAGCAUCUUUAGAUUACGAGCCCAGUCUACAAAGUUGCUUCCAUCAUCUUUCAACUUAGCUUUCUCUAGGAACGUAUUAAAAUUCAGGGUAGCUACUGCAUGAGCCAUUGAUCUACAACAUAAAAUAUUGUAAAGUGGACUUAGACUAUGUUCAAUAUAAUUAGAGUUUAACUAAUCAAAUUACUGAUAAACUCCCACUCAAAAAAUACAUCCCUCUAGUCAUUUGAGUGGUACAUGAUCCAAAUCCACUAACUCAAGUCCGAUCAUCACGUGAGUUGAGUAUAAUUUCAGUGGUAAACAUCUCUAUGUUAAUCAUAUCAACUAUACGAUUCAUGCUCGACCUUUCGGUCUCUUGUGUUCUGAGGCCAUGUCUGCACAUGCUAGGCUCGUCAAGUUUAACCCGAGUGUUCCGCGUGUGCAACUGUUUUGCACCCGUUGUAUGUGAACGUUGAGUCUAUCACACCCAAUCAUCACGUGGUGUCUCGAAACGACGAACUGUCACAACGGUGCAUAGUCGAGGAGAACACAAUUUCAUCUUUAAAUUUUAGCGAGAGAUCACCUUAUAAUGCUACCGUCGUUCUAAGCAAAACAAGGUGCAUAAAAGGAUUAACAUCACAUGCAAUUCAUAAGUGACAUGAUAUGGCCAUGAUCUCAUGCUUCUUGAUCUCCAUCACCAAAGCACCGGCAUGAUCUUCUUGUCACCGGCGCCACACCAUGAUCUCCAUCAUCGCGUGCUAUCUAUGCUAUUACUACUAAAGCUACCACCUAGCGAUAUAGUAAACGCAUCUGCAAACACAAACAUUAGUUUAAAGAGAACCCUAUGGCUCCCGCCGGUUGCCGUAGCAUCGACGUCCAAGUCGAUAUUAACUAUUACAACAUGAUCAUCUCAUACAUCCAAUAUAUCACAUCAUGUAGUUGGCCAUAUCAUAUCACAAGCAUACCCUACAAAAUCAAGUUAGACGUCCUUUAUUUUGUUGUUGCAUGUUUUACGUGGUUGUCAUGGGUAUCUAGUAUGAUCGCAUCUUAUUUACGCAAACACCACAACGGUGAUGUGCAAAUUGCUAUUUACCCUCUCUUCAAGGACCGCCUCGGUCAAAUCCAAUUCAACUAAAGUCUAAGAAACAGGCACCCGCCAGUCAUCUUUAUGCAACGGGUUGCAUGUUAGUCGAUGAAACUAGUCUCUCGUAAGCGUAUGAGUAAUGUCGGUCCGGGCCGCUUCAAUCCAACAAUACCGCUGAAUCAAGAAAAGACUAAGGAGGGCAGCAAAUCGAACAUCAACGCCCACAAAACCUUUUGUGUUCUACUCGAGAUAACAUCUACGCAUGAACCAAGCUCAUGAUGCCACUGUUGGGGAACGUUGCAUGGGAAACAAAAAAAUUCCUACGCACACGAAGACCUAUCAUGGUGAUGUUCAUUUACGAGAGGAGAUUAUAUCUACAUACCCUUGUAGAUUGCUAAGCGGGAAGCGUUAAGAAACGCGAUUGAUGUAGUGGUACAGCUUCGUGAUUCAAAUCACCGUCGUCCCACGAUCCGUUCCGAUCUAGCGCCGAACGGCCGGCACCUCCGCGUUCGGCACACGUACAGCUCGAUGACGAUCUCGACCUUCUUGAUCCAGCAAGAGAGACGGAGAAGUAGAUGAGUUCUCCGAUAGCGUGACGACGCGUCGGUGGUGGUGAUGAUCUACUCCUGUAGGGCUCCACCCGAGCUCCGCAGAAAUCCGAUCUAGAGGAGGAACUACGUGGUAUAGGUUUGAGUUGCACGUGGAAAAAGUUGUAUCUCAAAAGCCCUAAAACCACCGGUACAUAUAGGAGGAGAGGAGGGGCUAGCCUUGGGGCUCAAGAGAGCCCCAAGGGCAUCGGCCAAGGGGAGGAGGUGGACUCCCACCCCAAUUCGGUUUGGGGGAAGGAGUCCACUCCUUCCUUCCCACCUCCCUCUUUCCUUUGGUUUUUUUACUUGUGGCGCCAUAGCCCUCUUGGGCUGGCUCUACCAGCCAACUAAGGGCUGGUGCGCCACCCUAGGGUUACUGGGCUCACUCCCGGGUGAGUGGGCCCCUCCCGGUGAACACCCGAAACCCAUUCAUCACUCCCGGUACAGUGUCGGUAAUGCCCGAAAAACUUUCCGGUGACCAAAUGAAACCAUCCUAUAUAUCAAUCUUCGUUUCCGGACCAUUCCGGAAACCCUCGUGACAUCCGUGAUCUCAUCCAGGACUCCGAACAACCUUCGGUCACCAACACAUAUAACUCAACUAUACUAAAAUGUCACCGAACCUUAAGUGUGCAGACCCUGCGGGUUCGAGAACUAUGUAGACAUGACCCGGGACACUCCUCGGUCAAUAUCCAAUAGCGGGACAUGGAUGUCCAUAUUGGAUCCUACAUAUUCUACAAAGAUCUUAUCGGUUGAACCUCUGUGCCAAGGAUUCAUAUAAUCCCGUAUAACAUUCCCUUUGUCCUGCGUUAUGUUACUUGCCCGAGAUUUGACCGUCGGUAUCCCUAUACCUAUUUUAAUCUCAUUACUGGCAAGUCUUUUUACUCGUUCCGUAAUACAAGAUCCCGUGACUAACACAUUUGACACAUUGCUUGUAAGGCUUGUUUGUGAUGUUGUAUUACCGAGUGGGCCCCGAGAUACCUCUCCGUCACACGGAGUGAAAAAUCCCAGUCUUGAUCCAUGCUAACUCAACGGACACCUUCGGGGAUACCUGUAGAGCACCUUUAUAGUCACCCAGUUACGUUGUGACGUUUGAUACACACAAGGCAUUCCUCCGGUGUCAGUGAGUUACAUGAUCUCAUGGUCAUAGGAAUGAAUAAUUGACACGCAGAAAACAAUAGCAACAAAAUGACACGAUCACAUGCUACGUUCAUGGUUUGAGUCUAGUCCAUCACAUGAUUCUCCUAAUGAUGUGAUCCAGUUAUCAAGUGACAACACUUACAUAUGGUCAGAAAACCUUAAUCAUCCUUGAUCAACUGGCUAGCCAACUAGAGGCUUGCUAGGGACAUUGUUUUGUUUAUAUAUCCACACAUGUGUAUAUGUUUUCAUUCAAUAAAAUUAUAGCAUGGAUAAUAAACGAUUAUAUUGAAACAAGAAAUAUAAUAAUAACUAUUUUAUCAUUGCCUCUAGGGCAUAUUUCCAACAUCUCCGGUGUAUCUUUUGUCUUCCCAUAAACGCCCAAGAAGCCUAGCAGGUUCACACAAAGAUUCUUCGUCAUGUGCAUCACGUCAAUUGCAGAGCAUACCUAUAGGUCUUUCCAAUAGGGUAGGUCCUAAAAUAUAGAUUUCUUCUUCCACAUGGGUGCGUGUCCAUCAGCGUCAUUUGGAACAGACUGUCUGUCAUGACCCCUUCCAAAGAUUACUUUAAAUCCUUCACCAUACCAAGUACAUCAUCACCAGUACGGUGGCGAUGCUUCUCCAGGUGAUCCGCCUCACCUUUGAAAUACUUGCCUUUCUUUCUUACGGGAGGCCUGCUCGAAAGAAAUCGAUGAUGUCCCAGGUACACAUCCUUCUUACAAUUAUCCAAAUAUAUACUGUCGGUAUCAUCCAAACAAUGCGUGCAUGCACGACAUCCCUUGUUUUCCUGUCCUGAAAGGUUACUGAGAGCAGGCCAAUCAUUGAUGGUCACAAAUAGCAAUGCAUGUAGGUCAAAUUCCUCCUGUCUGUGCUCAUCCCACUCACGUACACCUUUUUCAUUCCACGGUUGUAGGAGUUCUUCAACCAAUGGCUUUAGAUACACAUCAAUGUCGUUGCCGGGUUGCUUAGGGCCUUGGAUGAGCACUGGAAUCAUAACGUACUUUCGCUUCAUGCACAACCAAGGAGGAAGGUUAUACAUACAUAUAGUCAGAGGCUAGGUGCUAUGAUUGUUGCUUUGCUCCUCAAAAGGAUUAAUGCCAUCUGCGCUUAGAACAAACCAUACGUUCCUUGCGUCAGAUGCAAAGUCCUGCCACUUUCUCUUUAUUUUUCUCCACUACGACCCGUCAGCGGGUACUCUCAGCUUCCCGUCUUUCUUACGGUCUUCCCAUCGCAUCAACUCGGCAUGCUCUUUGUUUUGGAACAAACGUUUCAACCGUGGUAUUAUAGGAGCAUACCACAUCACCUUGGCAGGAAUCUUCUUCCUGGGGCACUCGCCCUCGACAUCACCAGGUUCAUCGCGGCUUAUCUUAUAGCGCAUUUCACCGCAUAUCGGGCAUGCAUUCAAAUCCUCCGACGGCGGCGAGGAAAGAAGUUAGAAAGUUCUUGCUUAUAUGGUCGACGUCCCAUGUGUCGAUCCAAGUGUAACUUGUCUUGCAUGUUUUGUUUUGGCCGGCAUGAAUGACAUACAGUUGUAAGGGUUGUUUUUUGUCGUGGAUCACGGGGCACACGAAUAAAUUAGCGGGUUACCUCUUGUUUUGUUUGUUUUAGUGAAAGGGGUUUACCUUUUGUUGUUAUGCAAAUAGGACCGAACGUGGUUUUUAUUUGUUCCCUUAUGCUAUCCCUUGAUAAUGAAACCGACCGCAUGUUGGAUCAAAUGGAAAGAAAACAAAGGUCGGACGCAAAUGGUAUAAGCUUCGAAAGAUUGGGUACGUAGUGGUGGAGUUGGGCUUAUCUACGGAGUGCACAAAGUUCAUAUUUUAGGAAUUUUCUAGGUAUUUACCAACUUUUACAUAGUUAUCUAUUUAGUUUAUACUUCCUUAACAAAUUAAUGGGCACACAUCCUCUCGUGAAAAAUUAACUGGCACAAAUUAUUUGGGUUUUUUUUGUCCGACCUUGUGUUUUUUUCGCUUUAGUCUUGGACUCUUGGUCUUGGUGCUCAUCCUCUCGCGGUGGCGACGAAAGAAGUUGGAAAGAUAUACUUAUAAUGUUGAUGGAGGCAUGUGUUGAUCGGAGUGUUACUUGUCUUACAUGUUUGGUUUUGGCUGGCAUGAAUGGGCCACAUUUGUAUGGGUGUUCUAUUUGCCGUCAAUGAUGGGUUACGAGUGAAUUAGAGGUUUACCUUUUGUUGUAUGCACAUAGGUCAGACAUGGUUUCUGUUUUUAUGUUAUGUUAUCCAUUAAUAAUGAAACCGACCCCACGUUGGAUCGAAUGGAAAGAAAACAAAGGUCGAACAAAAUGGUCUAUGCUUCAGAAGGUUGGAUAGGUAGUGGUGGAGUCGGGUUUAUGAACCGAAUGCACAAAGUUCAUAAAUUUGGGAAUUUCCUGGCUACUUACCAACUUUUACAUAGUUAUCUAUUUGGUUUGUACUUCCUUUACAAAAUUAAUGGGCACACAUCCUCUCGUGAGGAAAGAAGUUGACAAGUUCGUACUUACACAUUUAACAUCACUCAUGCUGACCGAAAGACUUGCGUGUUUUUCUGUUCAACAUGAAUGACGUGCAAUUUAAAUAUGGAUUUAUCUGCUUGUCGAUGAUUACUCACAUUAGUAAAUUAGAGUUUUCUUUUUGUCAUGAUGCAAACAUGGUUAAAUGCAAUAGUCCAGUUUUAGCAAGGUUGUGGUACAAGGCGUGAUGCACUUUAUGGUUGUUUUAGACCGAAGGUAUAUGCCUAGUUUAUCUUCUCUGAAUGGCCAGAACAAGAAGGUCUUACGCACAUGCUGUAACGUCGACCUAAAUUUACAAUUGUAAGUUUGCAACACUACAAAUGGAGCAUAAAGAAAGAAGCAUUGGUCCGACAAAAACAAUUUGGGACCCCUACUCACCGGGUGUAGGAAUCUGGUCAUCAUCAUUGAUUCCUCAAGUAGAGUUGUACCCUUCCUCCUUGUCGAUGGCAUCAAGUGUUGUACCCCCUCCCCCUCCGGCACUUUCGUCGGUUGACAUCGUAGGUGUCUGGUGUCAAUUGGAGUCAAUGUCCCAUAGUCAAUCCUGGAAUAAAAGACAACCCAAAAGGCCCCUAGCGAGUCAAUGUCCCAGAAUUGGUCCCGAAAACCGGGAUGUUCUGGACAGUCUCUCCAAAGGUUCCAUGAAGAAAUUCGAGGAAGCGUACAUGAUAUGCAACAUGCAAAUUUUAAGUUGUGCUACAUAAGGCCCACAUUAUUCUUCCCCAAGGGUUACCCUUUCCUAAUUUCGAGCUACGUUUCCUUCUCUAUCAUACUCCAUUUUCUCAAAGCUCAAUAUCUCCAUAACCUCCACAUCCCUCUGUCAAAUCAUUCCAUUCCUUUCAGGAAUAAGAGAGAGAGAGGAUCCCCCGAUCUAUAUCUCCACUAGAAGAAUGUGGGUUUCCCUUUGAGUUUAUAAGCAUUUGUUACUCUUGGAGGUUGGUGACUCCUAGGCUGUAGGAGUCCUCGGAGAGGAAUCAACUUGUGAUUUACCACGCCGUUUGUAUAGGUACCAUUUUCUCAGCAUCACCCUUGAGAGAAAACCUGAAAAGUAUUAAUAAAACAAAUUGACACAUCUUUGAACUUAAAAGUUCCACAACGAGUAUCAAAGAACCUAAACCGCCGCAUUUACCACGCCGUUUGUAUAGGUACCAUCUUGUAUAGUUUGAAAGUUUUGUUUAUAUCAAUCAUAACAAGUUUUAACAUAUUCAAAAUAAGCCCUUAAACCGCCGCGAAUUAGAAAAACUGCUCCACACGUAAGAGUUGCACCUUAUCGAUGGCUUUCUAAGGAUAUAUCUUUUUCUCAGUUUCAAUGAGUGUUUUAGGAGUUAUGGGUAAGAAAGUAGAGAAGUUGAAACUGAAAAAGGUCCUAGAUCAAUUACUACCCGGAGUGUGUUUCAUAUGAGAAAAAUUAGUGAAAAGGUAAAGUGUAAAAAAUGAUUGCUGGAAGUUCACGUUGUCAUCCCCGGGAAGCUUACAAAUUCUUGUAAAGGAGGUUCACCGUGUAUUUACAUGUGCAAAACUGACAAAAAUAUGUUUUAUUUGUGUGUGUUUUCAAAUAAUUCUCUCAAUUCAUUACACAUUUUCUACAUAAAACAAUCUCCUAUUCAAUAACUUUCGAAGGUUAUAUCAUAUGUUUAUUCCAAAAUAAAUGUUUAAAACAAAUUGGUGUAUGUUGUUCGAAACAAAAGAUUAGUUGUAUUCAAAAAAGUUGUGUCUUUUCAACAGGUUUCUAAAGGUAUCUUAUUUGUGCAACCCUGACAAACGGGUGAGGAAUUAUGAACGAAAAUACGUGACAAAAGUUCAAAGUGAAAACAGCGAGUCGUUCAACUGCUACACGGAAUGCAUUUCAGAUGAGAAUAACUGAAUACAAAACUAAAGGCCUAAAACGAUUGUUGCAAGAAGUUCACGUGCUACUCCAUGCACGGUUCAAAAUUUAUGGUGUGAGACGUCCGUCGUACAUUUACAUGUUAAAAAAGGGCAAAAGUGAUGUUGUUUUUGUCUUUCUGAAAACUUCUCACAGAAUACGACGAAUUUGUAACAACUAUGUAUAUGAAAAUGUUUCUCCUGUUCAUAAUCUUUCCAACGAUAUAUUACGUACUUCAUUCCAAUAAACGGUUUAAAAGUUCUGUGUAUACCGUUAAAAAAUUAUGUAUUAAAAAAAUUCUUGAAGUAUAGUGAAUGUGAAAAAAAUGAUAAAUAUGGGAAAGUUGUAUGUUUCAACAACUUUCCAACAGUAUAUCAUUUUGCUCAAUUUGAAUGCGUGCCUUGGGAGUCGUAUGCAAAAAAAAGCACACGGAAAACAGAAUGAAGUUCGAACAGAGAUGUCUCACAAGUACAACUUCUUCAUGCAGUGCGUUCCUAAGACUUUGUUUUCGCGAUAAAGGCUAAAUGCAUAAUCUCACCGUUUUCAAAAUUUCUUUAAUAUAAUGGGAUUAGAGAAAACUUUCUAUAUGAAAAAGUUUUAUAUUUACGAUAGAUUUCCAAAGUUACAUUAUUUUCUCCAUUACGAUAAAGUUUGCAAAGAUGACGACCAAAAAACGAUUCUGUCAUUUUCAACAUUGAAUAAAAAAAUGCAAACAAUUAGGACAAACAUUCUAUACACAAAAGUUUUGCACUUAUUCAAGCUUUCCAACGCAAUAUCAUUUGAUGCAUUACGACAGACCAUUGAAAAAUGAACUCGAAAAGAGGACUCGUUGGAACUUUGAAGUUUUUCUAAAUUACUUUUAAACUGUCAAAAAUUGGAAUAAACAUUUUACAUGAAAAGGAAGCACAUUUUCAUAAGCUUCGCAACACCGUAUCAUUUGCAUCGAUCGGAUGAGCCGUUUUAAAACAAACAAAAAAAAAUACAAAUUCAGUUGUUCGGUUUGAGAAAUUCUAUGAUUUUUAAAAUUGCUCUUUAACCAUUGGGAAUUGGGAAAACUUUAUAUACGUUUGAUGAGCGGAUUUGCAGCAGUUUUCUAACGUCAUAUCACUUGCCUCAUUCCGACAAACUUCCUUCAGUUUGAGAAAGACGUUUUGCAAAACUGCUUUUAAACCGUGUAAAUUUUGCAAGAAACUUAAACACAGGUUAUGAUCCUUGUUUCCACAGCUUUCGAAUGGUAUAUCGCAAUCCUCAGUUGGACAAUAUUUGUGGAAGUUGAACAUGUUAAGUGCAGUUUAAAUACUGCUACUGCAACGGGUCGACUAAUUUUUAGAAUAUUAUUCUUAUCCCCUAAUCAGAAUAGUGUUUAUAUAUAGGGGACUGAUCUGCGCCGCAGUAUCUACCAACCCCGCGUCGUCCGCACCGUCGGAUCUGCAUGCAACAUUUUUUCCCCUAUGCAGCAAAAUUUCGAUGCGAUGCAGCAAUUUUUUCAACGGUUGCAACAAAAAACAUAAUUUAUAGCAAAACAAAUAUCUACAUGAUCGUAGCAAAAAAACAAAGCUGAUGGUGCGUGGUAGCAAAAGUCAAACGCCGGUUGUAGCAAAUAUUUACGUGACGUGUAUGCAACUUUUUUAGUGAACGGUUGCAGCAAAACAUGAUGCCGGUUGUAGCAAAAAUUAACACGGUUAUAGCAAAAGUAAAAAACAUCGAUUAUAACAAAAAAUCUGACAAACUGAAGUUGCAACCAAACGUAUAUGCAGUUUUUUUACUGGGACAAAAAAUAGUAAAAAAACGCUUGUAGCAAAUAUAACGCUGGUUGCAAUAAAUUUAGACGAAAAAUAUUGCAUCCACUGACCAGCGAAGCACGUGGGUGAAAAAAAUGUUGCAUGGAUCCACGUGCGCGAAGGGGCGACGGCGCAUCGGUUCGGCCGGCGCGCCGUAUGAAAACGAUUCCCUUAUAUAUAACCCACAAAGAAAAUGAGGGAGUGGAAUUUUUUCACCCCAGUCCAAAAGGACCCCGCUGGUAGCAGCCUAAAACAGCUGCACGCAGGCCCAUUGCCACUCUAGGGUCCGCAAUGAUCUCCACCGCAGGAGGUAUAUCUCGCAUUAAGCGAGAUGGCACAGGCUCCCGCUGAAGCUUUUUCUUCUCCGUACGGUAUUGGGCCAGCACAUUUUAGAUGCGUUGAUACGCUUGCUUCGCUUGGUUCUAUCGCUGGCUACAUUGUAUUCGCCUUUUUUUCUUCUUUGACUUUAUUGUUUUGUUCGGUUUUGUAUGUUUCUUUCUCGGGUUCUAUAGGUUUUCUUCAUUUUGUUUGGAUUCUUUUCCUUUUUUUCUUCGUUUUCCAUCGAUAUUUUCGGUUUUCUUUGUUUAUUUUGAUAUUCAUUCUACAUUUUUUGUAUAUGCCAAGACAAUUUUUAUAAUACAUAUCUAAUAUUUUUCAAAUACAAUUUUAACAUUUUUGGAAUUUGCAGUCAACAAUUUUUCUUUUCACAGGUUUGAUCUUGCUUUCGCAAUCUUUCUCUGAUCCUAGUCGUAUAGUAGAUCCAGUUUUAUUCGGCUAAAAAGAAGUGUGUGUGUGUGUGGCCAUCGUAUCUGCCCGCCUCCUUCUUCAUUCAUCCAUUUAGGCAAGAAUGGAUCCACGCAACCUGGCUUGGGAACAACCCAGAAUAAACACAGUCAUUCUUAAAUAUUUUUCCAGAUGCUUGAUUAAUAUUUUUCAAGUACAAGAUAAAUAUUUUUUGAAUACAUGUUCAACAUUUCUUAUACACAUUUUAAAAUUUUAAAUGGUUGACUAAUAUGUUUCACUUACGGGAUUAACAUUUUUUCAAUACAUGUUCAUCAUUUUUUCUAUAAAUAUUUAAAAAAAUUCAAAUACUUGGUUAAAAAAUUUCAAAUUCAUAUUCAACAUUCUUUUCAAAUGCUUGAUUAAUUUUUUUCAAAUUCAUCUUCAACAUUCUUUUCAAAUGCUUGAUUUACAUUUUCAUAUACAUGAUCAACAUAUCUAUCAUUUUUAAUGCAUUGUCAACAUUUUUAUAUACACAUUUAACAUUUUUAAAUGAUUGAUUUACAUUUUUGAAUAGUUUUUCAAUUUUUUUAAAUGUUUCAUUAAUUGUUUUUUUAUAUAUGAUAAAAAAUAUCAUCAUUUUUAGUACAUGAUCAACAUUUUUGUAUACAUAUUUAAACUUUUGAUUAACAAUAUUCAAACACUUAUUCAACAUUUUUACGAAAUGUGAUAUUAGUUUUGUUUAAAUAUAUGGUCAGAUUGUUUCAUACACUUUUUAUAUACAUGUGUUCAUAUAUGUGAUAAACAUUUUCUCUAUUUUUUGUGCUGGUAAAAGAGUUUUAUUCUAUUUGCAUAGGGUUACAAUUAAGAGGCAAGAGAUCCUCGACACAAAGUGGACCUCGGCCAAGCCAUACAGCAAUAAUGCUCUUUGUACGACUAGACAUGGCAAAUCGAUCUCCUACCCUAUUAUGUACAUAACUAAUUUUCAAGGGAAUAAAAACUCUAUCUACCAUAAGAUGACGAAUCUCAGCAACUAGAUGUCAAUUGGCAGAUCUGGUUAAGCUGUCACGAGACAUAGCAGAAAGUGCCACACAAGAACCCGACUGGACUAUGAUAAGUAGCUCAUAGUGUCGGAUAGUCAGAGCCAUACCAUGCAUAAGCGCAUGUAACUCCACCUCGAGAGCAUCGUUGCAAUUAAAAAUGCAAUGGUAAGCCGCAAAUAUAACGCUCCCAUCAUGCCUCCUCAGAAUCAUUCCUACCGGUGUUGAACCAUAUGACUAUAAGUAAGAGCCAUCGACAAACAGGGCCACCUGCUCUGGUGGUGGCGUCGGCCAUGGAAGGACCUGGACCUCCUUUUGCACAAUAGUCGGUUCCUCCUGCGCCAUAUGCAUCUUGCCUUUGAUAAUCUCUUCUAUUGAAUACUUCCUAGAGAGAUAUAGGGACUACAAAUAACUAUGCAAAUAUAGGACUGUUGCAACCACCAUAGGCACUUCUUUCCCAUGCACUAAGUUAGACUGGAGGGACCAAAUACGCCAAAUCAGCAUGAUCACACACUCCCGCAUCAACUCAUGGCAGUUUGCCAACACAUUCAAUAACCAGUCUUGUCAUGUGUCUUGCAGCAGCUCCUGCUGAGGUAGUCGCCACACCGACCUCAUCUGCAGCCACACCUCACGUGCAUGAUCACAUGCAACUAAGGCAUGGAGGCUGGUCUCCUUCUCCUUUGCACAUAAUGUUGGGGAACGUCGCAUGGGAAACAAAAUUUUUCCUACGCGCACGAAGACCUAUCAUGGUGAUGUCCAUCUACGAGAGGGGAUGAGUGAUCUACGUACCCUUGUAGACCGUACAGCAGAAGCGUUAGUGAACGCGGUUGAUGUAGUGGAACGUCCUCACGUCCCUCGAUCCGCCCCGCGAACAAUCCCGCGAUCAGUCCCACGAUCUAGUACCGAACGGACGGCACCUCUGCGUUCAGCACACGUACAGCUCGACGAUGAUCUCGGCCUUCUUGAUCCAGCAAGAGAGACGGAGAGGUAGAAGAGUUCUCCGGCAGCAUGAGGGCGCUCCGGAGGUUGGUGAUGACCUUGUCUAAGCAGGGCUCUGCCCGAGCUCCGCAGAAACGCGAUCUAGAGGAAAAACCGUGGAGGUAUGUGGUCGGGCUGCCGUGGAAAAGUCGUCUCAAAUCAGCCCUAAAACCUCCGUAUAUAUAGGUGGGAGGGAGGGGACCUUGCCUUGGGGCUCAAGGAUCCCCAAGGGGGUCGGCCGAGUCCAAGGGGGAAGGUUCCCCCCCCCCCAAACCGAGUUGGACUUGGUUUGGUGGGAGGGAGUCCUUCCUUCCCUUCCCACCUCCUCCUUUUUUUUCUUUUCUCUUUGAUUUUCUUCUCUAGGCAUAUAGGGCCCUCUUGGGCUGUCCCACCAGCCCACUAAGGGCUGGUGUGCCACCCUCAAGGCCUAUGGGCUUCCCCAGGGUGGGUUGCCCCCCCCGGUGAACUCCCGGAACCCAUUCGUCAUUCCCGGUACAUUCCCGGCAACUCCGAAAACCUUCCGGUAAUCAAAUGAGGUCAUCCUAUAUAUCAAUCUUCAUUUCCGGACCAUUCCGGAAACCCUCGUGACGUCCGUGAUCUCAUCCGGGACUCCGAACAACAUUCGAUAACCAACCAUAUAACUCAAAGACGCAUAAAACAACGUCGAACCUUAAGUGUGCAGACCCUGCGGGUUCGAGAACUAUGUAGACAUGACCCGAGAGACUCCUCGGUCAAUAUCCAAUAGCGGGACCUGGAUGCCCAUAUUGGAUCCUACAUAUUCUACGAAGAUCUUAUCGUUUGAACCUCAGUGCCAAGGAUUCAUAUAAUCCCGUAUGUCAUUCCCUUUGUCCUUCGGUAUGUUACUUGCCCGAGAUUCGAUCGUCAGUAUCCGCAUACCUAUUUCAAUCUCGUUUACCGGCAAGUCUCUUUACUCGUUCCGUAAUACAAGAUCCCGCAACUUACACUAAGUUACAUUGCUUGCAAGGCUUGUGUGUGAUGUUGUAUUACCGAGUGGGCCCCGAGAUACCUCUCCGUCACACGGAGUGACAAAUCCCAGUCUUGAUCCAUACUAACUCAACUAACACCUUCGGAGAUGCCUAUAGAGCAUCUUUAUAGUCACCCAGUUACGUUGCGACGUUUGAUACACACAAAGCAUUCCUCCGGUGUCAGUGAGUUAUAUGAUCUCAUGGUCAUAGGAAUAAAUACUUGACACGCAGAAAACAGUAGCAACAAAAUGACACGAUCAACAUGCUACGUCUAUUAGUUUGGGUCUAGUCCAUCACGUGAUUCUCCUAAUGACGUGAUCGAGUUAUCAAGCAACAACACUUUGUUCAUAAUCAGAAGACACUGACUAUCUUUGAUCAACUGGCUAGCCAACUAGAGGCUUGCUAGGGACGGUGUUUUGUCUAUGUAUCCACACAUGUAAAUGAGUCUUCAUUCAAUACAAUUAUAGCAUGGAUAAUAAACGAUUAUCUUGAUACAGGAAUUAUAAUAAUAACUAUAUUUAUUAUUGCCUCUAGGGCAUAAUUCCAACAGUCUUCCACUUGCACUAGAGUCAAUAAUCUAGCCCUCACAUCAUCAUGCGAAUUACAUUGUAAUAAAUCUAACACCCAUACAGUUCUGGUGUUGAUCAUGCUUUGGCCGUGGAAGAGGUUUAGUCAGCGGGUCUGCUACAUUCAGAUCCGUGUGCACUUUGCAUAUAUUUACGUCCUCUCCCUCGACAUAGUCGGGGAUGAGGUUGAAGCGUCGUUUGAUGUGUCUGGUCUUCUUGUGAAACCGUGGUUCCUUUGCUAAGGCAAUGGCACCCGUGUUGUCACAGAACAAGGUUAUUGGAUUCAGUGCGCUCGGCACCACUCCAAGAUCCGUCAUGAACUGCUUCAUCCAGACACCUUCCUUAGCCGCUUCCGAGGCAGCCAUGUAUUCCUCUUCACAUGUAGAAUCUGCUAAGACGCUUUGCUUGGAACUGCACCAGCUUACCGCACCCCCAUUAAGAAUAAAUACGUAUCCGGUUUGCGACUUAGAGUCGUUCGGAUCUGUGUCAAAGCUUGCAUCGACGUAACCUUUUACGGCGAGCUCUUCGUCACCUCCAUACACGAGAAACAUCUCCUUAGUCCUUUUCAGGUACUUCAGGAUAUUCUUGACCGCUGUCCAGUGAUCCACUCCUGGAUUACUCUGGAACCUACCCGCCAUACUUAUGGCCAGGCUUACAUCCGGUCUAGUGCACAGCAUUGCAUACAUGAUAGAACCUAUGGCUGAAGCAUAGGGGACGGAGCGCAUAUGCUCUCUAUCUUCAUCAGUUGCUGGGCACUGAGUCUUACUCAAUUUCGUACCUUGUAAAACUGGCAAGAACCCUUUCUUGGACUGUUCCAUUUUUCACCUCUUCAAAACUUUAUCAAGGUAUGUGCUUUGUGAAAGUCCUAUCAGGCGUUUUGAUCUAUCCCUAUAGAUCUUAAUGCCUAGAAUGUAAGCAGCUUCUCCCAGGUCCUUCAUAGAGAAACUUUUAUUCAAGUAAUCCUUUAUGUUCUCCAAAAACUCCACGUUGUUUCCAAUCAACAAUAUGUCAUCCACAUAAAUGCCACAGAGCUCCCACUCACUUUCUUGUAAAUACAAGAUUCUCCAACCAUUUGUACAAACCCAAAUGCUUUGAUCACCUCAUCAAAACGUUUGUUCCAACUCCGAGAUGCUUGCACCAGUCCAUAAAUGGAUCGCUGGAGCUUGCACACCUUGUUAGCAUUCUUAGGAUCGACAAAACCUUCGGGUUGUAUCAUAUACAACUCUUCCUUAAGGAAACCGUUAAGGAACGCCGUUUUGACAUCCAUCUGCCAGAUUUCAUAACCGAAAAAUGCUGCUAUUGCUAACAUGAUUCUGACGGACUUAAGCAUCGCUACGGGUGAGAAUGUCUCAUCGUAGUCAACUCCUUGAACUUGUGAAAAACCCUUUGCCACAAGUCGCGCUUUAUAAACGGUCACAUUGCCGUCAGCGUCUGUCUUCCUCUUAAAGGUCCAUUUGUUCUGAAUAGCCUUGCGGCCCUCAGGUAGUACUUCCAAAGUCCACACUUUGUUCUCAUACAUGGAUCCUAUCUCGGACUUCAUGGCUUCUAGCCAUUUGUUGGAAUCUGGGCCCACCAUUGCUUCUUCAUAAUUUGCAGGUUCAUUGUU